UUUUUUAUUUUUUUUUUUUGUAAAUAAUGUGAUAUCCAAAGUUUAGAUAGGAGAUCAUUUGAAAAAAAAAAUUAUUUAAAAUAAUACUGUGACACUUUUUGUGAUUCGAUAUAUGUGAAUAAAAAGAUAGCUGAAUAUAUAAAAAAUUAGUUGAAAAAUGUGUUUAUGAUACAAGUCAAAUAAUAUUGGAAAUAAAUGUUCAUAUCCAAACAGACCCAGUCGAUCCUGAUUGGGAAAAAAAAUGUACAUUUCAUAUGACAAGCCUUAAAUCUAUUUUAACAACACGUGUAGGGCUUAUAAAAAAAUAUACUAAGUUGAUAUUAUGUUCAAGUUGAUUUACAUUCUGAACGUGAAUAUAUUUUGUUAAAAUGCACGAAAUCAUUCCCAGACCAUUACACUAGUAAUCAUCCCUGUCUUAUGUCUAUUUUUUACUACAUAAAAGCACAUAUUCACAUUUACUUUUCCUUGCAUCUAGACUCUUUUUCAAGUUAAUCUCCCUUUUGUUAAAAAAAAAAACUAUUUUAGAUCGGGCACCUAUUAUUAUUUUUUUCUUUUUUUUUUCGAUUGGGAGGUAUCCUGGUCAAUUGACCAAACUAAUCCCCCCAGGCUGGAAGAGCCCGCCCUUGCUCCUGAAGAGGAGGCUAAACUCUUUUAUCAAUUGAAAGUAUUCAGACAUAGCACUGAGAUUAAACCCAAAGAAUUAACACCUCAAAUAUUUCUUAACACGGAGAAAACCUUUUUAUUAAUUGAAUGUAUUUAGACAUAGAAAAGAGAUCAGAUCCAUCAAAAGUUUGCAAUUGAAGUCAAAGCAUUAUAAUAAGAAUAACUAUUAAUCUAAAACUAGACGGGGGAUCGAUAAGUUUGUUAUUUCCUUCCGGUUUGUAACAGGAAAUUAAGGACUAUGAGGUGAACUGAUAAAGAUUUGUACGUUUAGCUGUUUCAUACUUAGACAUGUCAUAGGAAUAUUUUGCCAUAUCCAUACAAUUGUGACUUGACACAUAAAUGGAGGUCUCAAGCAGCCCUAUGAAAUCGAAUCUUAAUUCAAGAACCCACCGCAUAUAUUGAGACUUGAAAGAUCUUGGCCAUAUCAUGGAACCUGCUGCUGUCACAAUCUAGUUGCUGCAUUUUUCAUUUGUUUAGUACAUUAAUUGAAAUCGAUUUAUUGGCUACAAGCAGGAAAAUUCUGCUAAGAGAAUAGUGAAUAUACCGCCAUAGCUUUAAAUAAUCUAAUUGAACCAGCCACAAAGGAACAAUUGCAAGAUGGAGCUGAUGUCCACCGUCCACUCCAAUUCAAUUCACAAGGACUUGUAAAAAAGUUCCACUGGUUUACUUUGCAGAGCAAAACAGUUGUGCAAACACAAAUGGAAAAAGCAAAUCAAGAAGGAAAAAAAAAAUUACAUCCCAUUAUAAUUUAGCUUGAAUUCUGUUGUAAAAUAUGUUAAAUGCGUAUCUUCUCCUUUGCAUUCCUUUUUGGCUGAUUUCCAAGUUCAAGGAUUAUAGUACUUUUCUGUGCCUGGAUUAUAUCCCUGUUGCUUCUCAUAUUCUUCCAUGGAAUCAAACUCAUACUUGGACUUUUCACCGUUACCGUAGUAACCUUCAGCAUUGCUAUUUUCCUUCACUGAUUCAUACCCAUUUUGAUUCAGAUUCUCAUUGUUAACACCAUAAUAGUACUUACCAUUAUCCAAGAACCCUGUGUCACUCAUUCCUUGUUUCUCAUUCCUGUAGCUAUUGCUAUAUCCAUUGUUGUUAUUGUAGACUGAAUUCAAAUAGCCAUUGUUGUUGUAAUUGUUGGAGUAUCCAUUAUUGUUGUAGUUGUUGGAGUAGCCAUUGUUGUUGUAAUUGUUGGGGUAACCAUUGGAGUAUUGAUUCCUGGCAUUGUUUUUUGCAAGCCUUUCACUGUCGAUUUCCUCAACCAGAAUUUCAUCUUCCUCAUUGCCAAGGGUGGUGGCCGUGGUUGCGGUCAUGGUCUUUUUUGUAGGCGAAACAGUAGAAACACCGCCAUAAAGGCCAUAGGGAUAGUCAGUACUCUCAAUUGGUGCUGGUGCUGGAGAAAUUGAUGGUGCUUGUACUGGUGCUUCCAUUAUAGGGACAUGCUUGCUUACUCUAGCCUCAGCAUGAACAGAGGAAAGAAGGAGAACAAGAAAGAGAAUGGAGACAUUUUUAGCCAGGGGAGCCAUAAUGGAUAGAUGGGAAAUGGUUGAAUUUGUUGUUUGGCUCUGAAAUUUCAAGAUCCCAAAUGCAUCCUUUUAUAAAUAGACAAAGUGCGGUAUUCUUCCCUCCUUUUGGGCCGUCGAAUGUGAGGAAUAUGGGAUAGCUUUUGGGACAUGCUGCAUGUGGGAUCCUUGAGAAUAUCUUUCACAAUUGAGGCACCUAAUCUUUGGCCAGGAAAAAAGUGUCAUUAAUUAGUCAAAAGCUGGCAUUUUCUCAUGGGAUGCUUAAAGAGAAAGUGAUCUUGCUCAAGCUUGCAACAUCAUAAAAUAAAGAAAAUGGCCCCUGUAGCCUAUUUUGCAGUUGAGUUAGUUGAAAGGGCUUAUAGCCUUGUACCAUAUGAAAUAUGCUUAUAUUAGCUUCCUUUUUCUAGAGAAAAUUCCCCUGAAGCUACAAGACCUGAGAAGUAGCAAAUCAAUACAUUAAUUUUCACAUGCACUUCCGGUGGCUCCAUAAAUUGGUCUGUUUAAGGGUGACUAUCCAGUAAUCUACCACAUGAGAAGCCAAAGAAAAUGGGACAUGGCUAAUGCACGAGAACGACUAGAGAUAAUGACCAAAUUCAUCAUAUGCAAAUGCAACUGUAAAAGGUGAAAGUAUUCUCCAUCACCAUGAAGGGCAAUAUAACAUUUUUACUGCAUUGGUAUCACCAACUCUUUGGAUUUAAUCUGAUAGUUGCUGCACUCAUGAAAGUCUCAUUUCCUUCUUUAUUAUUGGCAGAGGGAAAUAUUUUUCUUUCUCGAAAAACUAUGCUGUAAUAAUAGUAGUGAUCUUUCAGUUAUCAUUUGAUUUUGAUUUUUUUGGGGUAAGAAUUUAUAUUGCUUGGUAAAUUUAGUAGUUGUAAUUAAAUUUAGGUAAAUCUUAUGUACAUUGACAAUUUAUAUAUUAUCAUAGUUGGAUGCAUGACACAUGAGCAAAUUUUGAAUUGCAAAUUUAAAUUUAAAUGAGUUGCCGUACAUGCAGUAGUGAUAGUUAUACACUGUCAAUGUAUAAAAGAUUAAUCCAUAAAGUUUUGGUGACAGAAAUACUUACAAUUUUUUCGAGAAUCAUUUGGUUAAAGACACCACUUGAAACUUUUUGUUUGUAAAGGCGAAGAAAGGACCAUGGAGAUCUUUGGACAAAAGCAAAUUGGUUUUAGUAAGUACGUUAAUACAUGAAUUUUCUUCUCGCUAAAAUUAGCUCAGAUUGUAGUUUCUAUCUCAAUUUAGCAUUUCUCUUAUCCUUCAUGUUCGAUUAAAACACACAUGCUCAUUUUUGCUUCUUUAACAAGAUCGAAGCCAAGUUUGGAGUCAGAUUCAAUUUCUAAAUUCAUAUUUUAUUUUUAUUAAUAUGUCAAUGACUUCAAUUUUCAAAAACAAUAAAAACAAAUGAAAACAAAGUGUGUGAAAAGAUAAUUAAAUCCCAUGUUUUUUGGGCAAUUGCUGGGCCCAAUACGACACAAAAUCAGGAAGACCAAUUCUUAAUGUUCGUACCCAAAGUCCAUCUGGUUUUCAACGAACCAAAAGAACGGAAAUUGCGCUAUUAAAUAUUCUUCGGGAGCUCCCGCGAUGGUCGGAGUUGAUUUGUGAAGUGGGUGUGCACUCUGGACUCUGGAGUCAAAUCUACAAUUUAAUUAAAGUGUAUGGGCUUCCUUCCUGGAAUGGGCCGCUAUCCAUGCAGAAUUUGGAUAUUACAGGUUCUACAAGAAUCAAGAUUGUAAUCAUGUAAAUAAAAUUUACUCCCUCCGUCUCAAUUUGAUAAUCCUGAUUUUGUUUUCACACAAUUUAAGAAAAAAUAGUUAACUUUAUUGGGACAAUCAAUUUAGGUAACUAUUUUUCUAAAAUACCCUCACAUUAAUUAGAAUACAACUUUAUGGGAACUUGAAUUGAUUGUAAAAAAAGAAUCAACUCUCAUUAAAUAGGGUAGGUUUAUAGUCACAAUAACUUACAUUGAAUAAGAGUAUUUUAGAAAAAUUAAAAUACAACUGCAUUUUUCAAUUGGAAAGUGGACUACAAUUUGAGACAGAUAAAAAAGGAAAACAGGACUAUCAAAGUCGGACAGGAGGGAGUAUCUUCGAACUUACCCAAAAGUUAAGAAAAUACAUAUUUUUGGAGCAAAUUAUCCGGUUGGUCACUAAACUUUUGCGAUCGUCGAAUUUUGGUCACUCAACUAUUAAAAGUCUGGUUUUAGUCACUAAACUAUAUAAAGUUAAAACAUGAGGCCAUUCUGUUACAUUUGGCCGUUAAGUUCGCAGAUCUGUCUAUCCGCGCGAUUUCAAAGAUAAAAGACGGGGUUAAUUUAGGAAGUUCAAAUGAAUUAAAAGCUGAUGAGCAAAGCGGGGACAUAAAUAUAACUGGAACAAAGCAUAAAAUACGCAGUCAAAUUGGGAGUUGAAGAAGCAAAUAGUACAGAUUACGAGGGCCUCCAAAUCUAAUGCUCGAUCGAAGCUUUUCUCUUCAUCCCCUUCAAUCACCUCAACCACCUUCUCAAGUCGCCAGUCGAAGAAGGUGAAAUCUCCCCUGCCGUGAGACUCUUGGUGUAGCAAGGAGAUUCACCCGAAAUUUGAAUUUUAACCGAUUGCACCGAACCCAGCUAGAAACAGAUCUGCAAUUGCUUUUGGACUAUAUGGUGAGUUUGAUCACGUCAGAGGAGAAGGUGGAAACCUUGAUGUCUUGCGCCAGAAAGAUUGAUUCCCAUUUCUGACUUCUGUAUGUGUGAUUUCUUGAUGGUUAAAAGGCUUUUGCAUAUUUUCCUAGCGAGUGAUAGCGGGAAAAAUAAGCUACUUGUAAUUACCCGACCUUCUGUGUAAUUUGGGCAAAAGUGUAUAUUAAGCUGAACGUGUUCUGCCCACUUGAACUGAGUAUACUGUACACCGCUGGUAAGGGGCACCCCGCACAGGGUACAGGUGAACAAAGUUGAUAGCAUGCGCCCAAUUAUGGGUGAAAAGAUGAACAAAUUAUUCAGAGUUAGCCCAAAUUCCAUUGAUCAAUACUACCUUAUAAUCAACUUGAUACCAUAUUCAAUUGUAUGAAUUUUUUGACUUCAUAUUCAAGGUGAAUUCUAUAAAUAGAAUUCCAAAAUUUCCCCUAUGGAAAAAUCAAUUCUUAAUUAAGUUAGACUUCAGUCUGCACCCAAGUGCCAUUCCAGACCCUAUUAGUCUUCAUGGGGGUUGCUGGGUGAUUGAAGGUGAGAAAUGGUCGGCAACAAAGUGGAUUCAUGUAGACAACUUCGACAAGAUUUUGGGAUCCACUGAUAAUUGCGCCCCUUCAAUCACCUCAACCACCUUCUCAAGUUGCCAGUCGAAGAAGGUGAAAUCUCCCCUGCUAUCAGACUCUUGGUGUAGCAAGAUGAAUAACCCCAGAUGCACUCCACAAGCAUUUUUAAAGCUUGGGCUUCUCAUAUAAUCUCCGUAGCCCGUGCCUGCACCAUAUGGGUCUGGGACAGGGAACAACAAUCUCUUCUUUAGCAGAUUCUGUUGCGGCCAUGUAAUUAGGCACCGCACUGGUCAUGCCUCUGGAUUGUUGGUGCAAGCCACCACCGCUGUACUGGUGGUAAUUAGACCUUGGUGUUGGGGUUUGAGCUGUAUGACCGCAUCUUUCUUCCACUGCAGCAUAUCUAGGACUGGCGGAGCAGACUUGGAGAGGCCUUGUUUUGGACGGAGAAGGUGUGACAGGAGAGUGGAGAGAUAGAGCUUGUUGGGUCGACCUAUGAAGAGGGGAACAAGAGGUACAAGUGGAUGUUGAACUUCCUAUAUUAACCUUGCCUUUUAUCUUGGAAAUCGCACAGACAGACAUAUCUGUGAACUUAACAGCCAAAUGUAACAGAAUGGGCUCGCAUUUUAAUUUUAUACAUUUUAGUGGCUAAAACCAGACUUUUAAUAGUUGAGUGACCAAAACUCGACGAUCGUAAAAGUUUAGUGGCCAACCGGAUAAUUUGCUCCAUAUUUUUGUGUGUUAAUCCUAUGGUAGAUAUGUCUCAUAGCAUACCAAGAAAUGCCAUGCGAUAGUGUUUUUGUCGUGUAAUGCACUUUAAAGUUUCACAACUCUUUCAAACGCCCUCCGAGAGACGGAGAGAGGGCACAAGUCCCUAUUUCCAUGAGUGAAGAACAUCUGACUUCGUCUAUUCUCACUCAAGAAUCUAAUAACACUAAUUAGAAAGUAAAAUUCACAUGUGAUAUUAGGCUCAUAAAUACUAAGAAUUGUUUAUUCUGUAUUGAUUUGAAAGAGAAAGAAUGAGUGCUUAAUAUACAAAUAAGACUCGAAAACUGCUAGUUUAAACUUUUAAGUCAAAAUUACACUCUUUAACUUAUGUUGGACUUGUUUGAUGAGCUCUCUCACAUUUUUCUCUUCACUAGUGUCAUCAGAGUUUUUUAGUUACGAAUCUAGAUUACUUAUCUUCUUGGCAUUAGUUUGAUGAAUUGGUCUCUUCUUGGUAUUUAUUGGAGUACUUCUAGUUAAGAGUCUAGACUACUUAUUGAUAAAUGGUUUCUUCUUGAUGAGGUGAAUUGUUCUCUUAUUGGUAUUGAACUAAGAUGCCAAAUGUUUGGUGGGAGAUCCUAUUGAUGUUGGACUAAGAAGUUAGGGGCUUCUUGAUGUUAGACUAAGAAAUUAAGGGCUUGGCAGGAGUUUGAUAUCCAAUUUGGAUGUUAAAAAAGAGGGGGUUUAUGACUAUGAGUUUGAGAAGUAAUCUUGAAUGUCAAGGAAGAGUUUGUGAAUUUUGGUUCAAGGUAAUGGACUAUUCAUGAAGAGAGAAAUUGUUAGCUUCGUGAUAAGGAUAAUUUGUCUCACAUUGUUUUGAAAGAGUAACACAAAAUGCUUAGUACAUAUGUAAGGGAUUGAGACUUAUUCAUUUAAAUAUUUGAGUUAAAAUUGAGCCUCUUUGCGAGCACUCUUAGGUUUUUUCUCUCCAAUAUAUAGUUACUGAAUUAUUAUUUUUUGAAAAAAUGUAUACCGCCUACAUUUGCAUCCUAAAUGAUCAUACCUCAAAUUUCAACAAAAGAACAUUUGUUUCCCUAAAAAAGAUGUCUCGUUUGAAAAAACACGAACGUUGAAAAUUAGUUCUCAUUAAAUUCCUGCAAAAUAAAAUUUUUCUUAUGAAUAAUUGAAGUUUGUUUCUAAUUUGUAACCUAUUGGCUCCAACACCAACUACAUAACCACACAACCAAGUGAUUAGAGAAAAAAAAAUCCUUGAUCUCCUCCUCAAUUAACAAAUCAAACGACAAAUUCCAGCUUAAUCAUUUAAAAAAACAAAAGAAAAAAAAGAAUACACCAGUAUAUUCCAGAUAACCAUUAAAAGCAUUCAAGAAUCUAAAUCUACUAGUGUGAAUACCUGUGCUACGCACGGUGCUGACAUUAUUAAAAAAAAUAAAAAUAAAAUGGUGAACAAAUAAAGGUGAAAAAAUUGAACCAACAAAAUUAAAAUGUAAUAUCUGAUUAACAAUAGUUUGAAAUAUAAUAGAAUGUGUAUAUCAUUCAAGAACUGUCUUUUUUCGGAAGAUGGAUCCUGAAAAAAAAAUAAAAAUUUAUAUUAAAAAAGGGAAUGAUAUAUUUCUACAAAUGAAUGUAAUUGAAUGUAGUUAAAAUGAAAUACUUACAAAGACUAAGCAUUCGAUUCUAUAAUUUUGUUUGAAGGUGCGAACACUCUUCACACCAAUCCACUUUUAGUAAGAAAGCCAAAAUUGGUGAUUUAAUUAACUCUGUUGAAUUUUGUGGAAUGCGUACUACAAAUGAAAAUGCACAAUCUUUGCAUGAAUUAAUUCGUUGGCUGAACAACCUAUCACCAUUUUCCUGAUAAUUAAGAACGUACGAAAUUAGUGUAUUUUUUUACAUAGUUUAUAAAUAGUAUUAUAAAAAAUAAAUAUAUAUUAAGAAAUUCUACAUUCCUUUGUAAUUUUCUGAGAUAAAAAGUAUCAUAAUCAAAUACAAAUCGUGCAUGUCUGUCUUGUAGAUUAAGAUGCAUGUUACCACUGAAAUGUCUUAUUUAUAUGUUAACAUUGCACCUGUUUGACAAAUAAAAUACUAUAUGUAAUACAGAAAAAUAUAUUGAAAUUAAAUAUACAUGAAAUUAAUUACCUAAUAACAGUGUCAACAAUGUCAUUACAGUGCAUACACACUGUCUUUGAAAAAUGACCGUCACAUAGUUGUCCACAAUUUUUGCAUAAUUCGUAGAACAUAUUUUCUAUGUUAAUGCUCGGAAUGUAAGCAAAUAUUCGAAAAUAUUUAACCUAAUAAGAAUGAAAUAAGAUAUAGGUUAUGAUUAUAACUUAAAAAAAUUCGUUCAGUAAUUAAUUAAAAUUGAGUAAGCUUAUCGUAGGCAUGAUUAUAUAUUCAAAUAUCCAUAUUCUCUUUGAAUUUGCUAGAGCGAAUUGCGCGAAAUGUCACUAAACUAUUUCAAAGUGCCGGUUUUGGUCACUAAACUUUUUUAUUAGCGUGAAAUGUCACUGAACUAGUAAAUCUGUACCGUUUUGGUCACUCCGUGUAUUUGUGCCGUCAGGAGAGACGGAAAUCAACUUUUUGAGGGGCAAAUUCGUCUGCACAGUCUUUUCCUUGAAACUCUCCACCAUAAAUCUGAAUCAAAUGUCAGACAACUCGUAAGUUCAAUUAGGAAGUGCAAACCCUUAUCCUGUAAUAGAUUUCUUCUGCAAAUAUGGAGUAGGAGGGACAAUAUACGAAGUUGCAAUUUGCUGGGAAUGUGUUGAAGCUUCAUUGGAGGAAUACCUAAGAAAAGAACUCCGACUUGCAAUUUGCUGGGAAUGUGUUGAAGCUUCAUGAGAGGAAAAGGCAAGGAAACAACUCCGACCUGCUCUUGUGGCAGUAAAACCAAUUUGAAGACUUCAUGGACUGAUAGGAACCCGGCAAGGAGAUAUGUUGAAUGUGCUAAUGGCAAGGUAAGUGUGUGAAGAUAUAGGAAAUUCGUUAAAUUAGGUUAAUGUUUAAUUGUUUAGACAUUUAUCGGCUAAAAAGAAUUUGGAUAAUUUUUUUGUAGGUUGAUGGCUGUGGUUAUUGGAAUUGGUAUGAUGAAGAAAUGUGUGAGCGUUCGAAACAAGUCAUACCCGGUCUUUUAAGAAGAAUAAAUAGGGUGGAAACCGAGAAUGAAACUUUGCGGCAACAAAUUCUCAAGUUGCAAAAGAAAGCUGAGAAAAUGGAGGAUAAAGUAAAAAAUCUGAAGGAGAAGCUUGGAAGAAAGAAAGUGAAAAAAAUGGUCAUUGUUCUUUUUGUUAUGGCCUGGACAAUUGUCAAUGCAUCAAUGUGGAUUUGGGGGCCUAACAAGGGACAGAAGUUUGGAAGGCUGCAAAUUGAUGGCUACUAGAGUAUUGUUGUACUUCAAAUCCUAAACCAGUGUUGCUCAAUGUUUUAAUACACAGCUCGUUUUUGUUGAGAUUGUAGUGUUUUUAUUACACCUCAUUUUGGUUGGUGUUGUUUACACCAUGGAUGUUUGAAAUUGUAAUUUAUGAAUAAAAGACUGAAGUAUUAGUUCCAACAUAUGGGUGGUGCAAAAGAAAAGUAGCUCACAAAUGCAGAAAACAUAAAGCCAAAUACAACAAAAGAGAUAAUUAUCAUUAUCAUUCCAAACAGCUGCUUUACAAAAGAGAUAAUUGUCACUGUCAUUCCAAACAACUGCCAACAAAGUUAGCCAUGUUUCACAUAUAAAUAAUCUGGAAUUGUCCUAGACAUAGAAUACAUCCAAACAAAAGCUAUGCAAACAAGUCCUUUAAUCUGAUCUUCCACUUCUACUUCUACUGCUCCUUGAUGUUCCAGCCCAUCUACCAAUCUUGAAUGGAGGCUCUUUGCCCAAGUACUCAUAGUUGGUGUUGAUCCUUAUCUUGUCAAUUUCAGACAGCUUUCUCUUUGAAUGGAGAGACUGUUUGUUGGCCGCUGUAGUAGACUGGUCGGUAUCAUUGACAGGCCUAACUCUCCUCACCUGUACACAAGUACAAUAAAUAUUAACAAUAGCUAUUUACCAUAGUAAAAUUAAAAAUAAAAUUAGAAAUAAAUUUUUGCACCUACAGGUGUCUUAGUCUUUCUAAUCUGCUGCUUUUUCGUACUACUACUGGUAGCUUGUGCAUUACGUUCAGCAUGUGAACCAAUGUCAUUAUGGGAAGUAGUUUGCUCUUCAGCUCCAUGUGGCUGAGAAUUGACACAACUUGAAGAAUAUCCUUGAACUUCCACAUGAGCAAAAUCAGGCUCCUGAGAAUUAGCUCCAUGUGUUGUGCUUGAGCCAUUGUUGGUGCCCUUUGACUUUCUAGCAUGUUUAGGAGUUGGAGCAGGUUGACUGCAGCCUUCACCUCCAUUAUUUUCUGGAACACUUUUGCAGGUAGCAGCAUUGUGGCCUGCCUGACCACAUCUUCUACAGUGCAUGAUCACAUGCUUUUUUAAUUUUUGCACAUUAUUCGUUCCCACAUGAACACCACUUUUAUUUUCAGAACUACCUUUUCUUCUUGCUUUCUUGGGCCUACCAGGUUGGACACAUGCAAGUGGAGGAUCUAAUAUGGGAAUAUCACUCUGAGGCCAUAGAGACUUUCCACUAAUUGGAUAUAGUACAUUCUCAUAUAUUUGAAAGAAUAGAUAUCUACUAUAACACUGAUCGGCAUAGUCAUUUGGGUUCCUACCAAUUUUUAAAAUGGCAGAAAUUGCAUGGCAGCAGGGGAGCCCACUAAUUUGCCACAACCUGCAUGUACAGGUUCUGUCUCUUAAGUACACAGCAAAUUGUUCCCCCUUAGGUCCCCUAACCUGAUAUCCCCCCUUCCCAUUUGAUAUUGGCUUCCACUUUCUAGAAAACUUUUCCCUCUCCUCAAUCAAAGCCUUUAUUGCUGGUCCCACAGGACCACUACAUUUUCUCAUCCAACACACUCUAUUUGAUAUCCUUUCCAUCACGAAUUCUCUAAUCCACUUAACCAUCCCAAUCACUGGCAACUCUCUAGCAUUUAAUAUAUGAGAAUUAAAUGUCUCUGAUAAAUUAUUAACCAGCAUGUCAGAUUUCACGUGAAGUGGAAAAAAAGCCUUACACCAGUGAUGAGGUGGUGCAGCUCUCUUGACCCACGCGUGAGCUUGCUGGUCAUAUGCUCUAAGCUCUUCCAAAGCUGCCUCAUAGAACUCUACUGUUGAUGCUGCUGCAAUGCUCCAGAAUUUUUCUUUAAGCACUUCACCAGGGUGCUUUUUCUUGAAAUUUCUGUACAUAUGUUGUACACAAUAUCUAUGGCCAGCUUCUGGUAAUAACUCCAGCAGUGCACUAUCAAGACCCUAUAAAAGAGUUCUAAGUUUAGUCACUUGCAAAAAUUAUCCUAUACAAUACAUGCUAUAAGGAUAAAGAACAGUACUCCUAACCUUCUGUUGGUCUGAAAUAAAAGUGUAUUCACUGCUAGUUGCUGGUAUUUCUAGAUCACCAAUCAGUAAACUCAAAAACCAAAGCCAUUGUUCCCGAGCCUCCUUCUCAACAACUGCCCAAGCUAAUGGCCACCAACCAUUAUUUGGAUCUGCCCCAAUAGCAAUCAACAACUGCCCUGGAUAUGCCCCCUUAGUGUGACAGCCAUCAAGAGCAAUAAGGGGCCUACAUCCCUCUCUAAAUCCCUUUUUCAUUAGUCCCAAACAGCAGUAAAAUCUCAUGAAUCUGGGAUUACUUUCAGGAUCAGCUCUUGGUGAAUACUUGAUGUCUAUGGUGGUGUCAGGGUGAGUUUUUUGUAGUUCUGCUGCAUACCUCCCAACAUCAAUAUACUGCUGAGAUGCUGACCCUUUGAUAGCAGCCUUAGCCAUUGCAAGUGCUUUGUAACCUUUGUUUCUUGUGAUCUCGCAACUAUAUUGCUCAUCUAUACUCUGUAACAAUUGCCUAACAGGCAUGUUCAUGUUGGAUCUAACAGACUCUUCAAACUUGUCUGCUACCCAAUUGGAUGUCAUGUUUUUGUUUCUCCAAGCAUGGCUGCAAUUGGUGUGGACAUCGUAAAUUGUUUUAACUACAAAGUCUUCAGUACCCAAAGCAGGAACGUGGCUAGCAUAAAUGUACCACUUACACGGAUCUGCACAUUUAGCUCUCAUUCUUGUUUUGUCACUUGUAUACAUGUAUACAGGUCUUCCACUUAUAAUUGCAUAAUUUCUGAGAGCAUCUCUGAACUGUUUUUUGGUUCCAAAUUUUUGUCCAACAUGAAAAUGGGGAUCUGUUCCAUCUCUGCUAGCAUUGAAACUAGUGUAUCUCACAGGAACAUCUUCAUCUUCUGAAUCUGGAUCACUAUUUAAUUCCCCUUCCACAAUAUCAUCCAAUAGUGGGUUGUGUUCAGCUUCAGUUUCAGGACCAGCUUCUGUUUCAGCUUCAGUUGCUGCACCUUCUCUAUUUUCACAUGCUUCAGCUUCAGUUGCUGCCCCAGUUUCUGUUACAGGUUCAGUUGCUGCACCUUCUCUAUUUUCACAUGCUUCAGCUUCAGUUGCUGCCCCAGUUUCUGUUACAGGUUCAGUUGCUGCACCUUCAUUUGUUGCACCUUCACCUACUGCACCUCCAUUUGAUGCACCUUGACCUGCUGCCCCUCCAUUUGAUGCACCUUCAGUUGCAGCACCAUUAUUUGAUACACCUUCAUUUGCUACACCUCCUUUUCUAACUCUUUUUGUAGCACCACAAAUGGCCUCCGACGUACGAGAUUUUCUCCUAUCUCUGUUUCUUCUAUUCCUGGAACUGUCAUUGUCCCUCCUAUUCUGACUUGAUGGAGUUGGGUCAUUAUCAACUUGGCUAUGCAUUUGUGGCUCGGACUCCUGUGUAUUGUUGUUGGCCUGUUCACAUCUCCUAGAAGAAUUUUGGUAUGCAUCUUCAUCUUCACCAGCAUGGUCAUGUGUCCACUCUAAAGCUGCAACUGAUCUACUAGCUUGGACUCCUUUUCGUUGUCUAUGAGGUAUUGCUGCCUGUUGUGUAAGAAUUUCACCAUCAUCCAAGAUCUCCUCUAUUACCACUGAACUCUUUGUCUGUGGUAACUGUUCCAAUUCCUUUUUCUUCUUCCACUCAUAUAUUUCCUCAACUGUUAAAUGAUGACAGUAUACUUCCAUCAACUUGUACUCAUUAACCCAACCACAGAAUUGCAUAAUGUCUUCAUCCGUUUGAAGUUCCAUCAGUCCAUGGUUCAAAUCCCCUCUAGGGUCAAUGUAAUAAUAUAACAUAGUAUCGUUGUGCCCACACUUUUCCACCAUUUUAUUUAUUUCAUGAAUCGACAUAAAAUCAGCAUGGCAAAGAUCGAAAUAAUCAAUCUCUCCAACCACAUAACUCUUGUAUUUCUCUCCCUCAAUUUUACCGCCGUGGUGGAGUUUAAUCGAAAAUGCAGGUAUAUCAGGAACUGCAACAACAACGACAAAGGCAAACAACAUGAUUCUUGUUAAUCACCAUUUUUUAUUGUCAUACAUGUUGUUCUUCUUAUAAAAAUACUUAACCCCCAUUUGUUAAUUAACCCGAAUCAGACAACUGCAUUUUGAAAAGUUUAUUUUUUUCAUUAAAUUACAAGAUAGAGGGUUCUUGUAGGACCCCUUGCAACCCACUUAUACGACAAAAAGCGAAGUCAAUCGUUCUUAUGUCAUUUUCUAAACAACUGGAUCACUUCAGCAAACCCUAAACCCAAUAAAAACUCUCACUAAAUACUUCUUUAUACUCAAAACACAAACAACACCAUUAAUCAAGCAAAAUGUGUACGGAUUGUAAUAUUUCUUACCGUAUAAUGUGUACGGAUCAAUGAAUUCAUCCCUUUGCCUUUUCACCCAUUUCCCUGCCAUCGAUGAUCGAUUCUUCACAGCUAAUCUUCGUCUUUUGCCGGUUCUUUGAGUCUUGUCACUGAUUACUGUGAGAAGAAUGUAUCAAUUUUGAUACUUUUCACUGUCAUUGUCCACAUUCCCAAAAAUUUUACCAACAUCCCAAAGCCCCACAGUUAAACCUUUCACUUACCAGAUGAAACUCUUCCCACUAAGGCUGUGCAGACGAAUUUGCCCCUCAAAAAGUUGAUUUCCGUCUCUCCUGACGGCACAAAUACACGGAGUGACCAAAACGGUACAUAUUUACUAGUUCAGUGACAUUUCGCGCUAAUAAAAAAGUUUAGUGACCAAAACCGGCACUUUGAAAUAGUUUAGUGACAUUUCGCGCAAUUCGCUCAAUUUGCUAUCAACAGUACUUGUGGUGUUGUGAAAUUGCUUGAUCUCAGUCACGUAACUAACUUGCGGGCACAUGUAUUAUUUUCAAACCUGCAAUUUUUUUGAAAUACAUGUCAAUAAGAGUACGAAACAAUAUUAAUAGUUUGAUAUAGUGUUACUGAGGAACUCACCAACUGCGCAGGUAUCAAGCAAAAUCUAAAUUGUGAUUAAUAUAUAAUUUGCUAACUCCAAUUGUACACAGUGAUGGUCCUGCAUAGUAUGGUUAUGUUCGCUCAAAAGCUAUUCAAAAUAUAUAGAAUAUAACUAAAAUCAAUUGAUUUACCUCUGAAAUUUCGUACGCAAAUACCAAAUGCUAGUAAAAUAUUAUUUUUUGUAGCAAACUGAUAUAACCGUUCACCAUCAUCAUUAGCAAAAUUAUCCCCCAAUAUGAAUCGAGCUACUGUCAAACUGUGUUGACAAAAUUUUGAUAAGUGCAAAUGUGGGGGGAAACGUGGGAUGAUGAUUAGAGGAUUUGUAGAAGUGGUUAUAGGAUGAAUUAAGAGAUAGUUGGAGUGGACUCUUAAUUGAAGUGGGAAACAUGGGAGGAAAUAUAGGGGGAAACGUGAAUGAUGAUUAGAGGAUUUGUAGGAGUGGUUGUAGGGUGAGUUAAGAGAUAGUGGAAAUAUUUUAAAUUUAAAUUUAAAUUUGAUUGGUGAUAAGGUGGGUUAUAACUCACUACUAUCUAUAUCUAUAUGUAUUCAAGAAGGAAUUUUUAGUAGAAACCCUCUCAAUGGUUUCUAAAUUUCUCAUUCUUUUUUCUAAAUUUUUGUAUUUAUUUUAAUACAUAAAAAGUAGUGGAUUAUAACCCACCUUAUCACCAAUCAAAUUUAAAUUUAAAAUAUUCCCACUAUCUCUUAACUCAUCCGACAACCACUCUUACAAAUCCUCUAAUAAUCAUUCCACGUUUCCUCCUACAUUUCCUCCCAUGUUUCUCACUCCAAUUAAGAGUCCACUCUAAUUUAAGAAUUUCACCCCAAUUAAAACUCCUCCAAACAUAGCAUCCUCUUUCAAUUUUUUUGCAUGCUCAUUCUUAUUUUUUGGUUAACCAAAACUAGAAUCUAUUAUCUCUUUCAUCUUUUUGUGGUGUCAAUCUUAGUUUUUAACUUAAUUUCACCAUGAAAUAUGCCCGCCUACAAUCCAUUCAAUAACAACUAAAUUUCAUACUCGCAAGAUUGCAAAGGAGGAAACAUUUGCUUAGAAAACGAAACGUACACCGCAACGAUUUCACACACCAGUUGAAAAAGUUUCAACAAUUUUGCGCUGACGAAAGAGAAAUCUCAAAUCAAAUUCGAAGGACAAAAUCCAGGCUACACCGAUUAAAACGUCGUUCGUAUCAAAUUAAAAAUUUCGUUACUGUGUAUUCUUUAAAUAUUGGCAUUUCCAUUGUAAUUUCAAAUAUUAUUCCCAAUACUGUUAUAUUUUUUAUUAGUUUCGAUUAUUUCCAAUACUAUAAUAUGUCUAUAAUUUUUGUAACCCUUUUAGUGAUCGAGUUAAUUAACUGAUCGAGUUAAUUCCUCCACCCUCGCUCUCAGUUUCUUCUUUGUUUUUGGUUCUCUAUUGAUUUUGUAAAUGUAUUGAUUUUGUUUUUUUUGUGAGCAGUUAUGGAAGAGAUUAUGUACAGAGACUUCAACGGAAAUCAACCUUCUUGCGAAGAACUGGAAAUAUAUUCUUGCCGGCUUAAUUUUUCAGGUCAGUCCCCUCUGCCCCUCCUUUUUGUCAUGUUUUGCUUUUCUUUUAAGGUGAUUUGGUCUUUUACUUUCUUUAUUUUUUCUCCUUUUAUUUUCUGGGCUGGUGGAUGGUUUGCAUCGUAUACAUGAUCAAUGCUUUAAAGAGGCCAUGUGAAUAGCUGCGUGAUGUAUAUAAUAUUUUAUUUGUUAAACAGGUAUAAUGUUAACAUACAAAUCAGAGAUUCCAGUGAUAACAUGCAUCUUAAUCUACAAGACAGAUAUGCACGAUUCGUAUUUGGUUGUAAUACUUUUUAUCUCAAAGAAUUACAAAGGAAGGUAGAAUUUCUUAAUAUGUAUUUAUUUUUUAUAGUACUAUUUAUAAACUAUGUAAAAAAAUACACUAAUUUCGUACGUUCUUAAUUAUCAGAAAAAUGGUGAUAGGUUGUUCAACCAACGAAUUAAUUCAUGCAAAGAUCAUGUAUUUUCAUUUGUAGUAUGCACUCCACAAAAUUCAACAAAGUUAAUUAAAUCACCAAUUUUGACUUUCGUACUAAAAGUGGAUUGGUGUGAAAAGUAUUCGCACCUUCAAACAAGAUUAUCAAAUCGAAUGCUUAGUAUUUGUAAGUAUUUCAUUUUAAUAACAAUCAAUUACAUUCAUUUGUAGAAAAAUAUCAUUCCUUUUUUAAUAUAAAUUUAUAUUAUUUUUUCAGGAUCCAUCUUCCAAAAAAGACAGUUCUUGAAUGAUAUACACAUUCUAUCAUAUUUUAAGCUAUUGUUAAAUAGAUAUUACAUUUUAAUUUUAUUGGUACAAUUUUUUCACCUUUAUUUGUUCACCCUUUUAUUUUUAUUUUUUUCAAUAAUGUCAGCACCGUGUGUAGCACAGAUAUUCCUACUAGUUAAAAAAGUAUUAUUGGUAGAUAUUUCCCAAAAGCACCAUCCAUGACUUCUCAAUUCUCAUUUAUUGGGGAGAUCAUGAUGCUUGUAUUUAUCAUGUUAUUUUGGUAGGUAUACCGUAUAGUGCAUAAAAUACAAAGUACAAAUGUACCUAAUGGACUAAAUUCCCAAAAAGCAGAAGUUUUUAAUCUAACUUCCCAAAAGGUGGUGAUUUUUAAACCUCUUCUCAAAGGAUGAAAAAUGCAUCCAUGGAAUGCAUUGUUUCAAAUAAAAAUGCAAUUUGUAAGUACGUUGUUCUAAUUUUCAGACAUUUAUUGAAAUAGGAAAAAAUGGUUAAAAAUGCUAUUUUAUAAAAAGUCUCAUAUAAUGAAUGCAUUUUUUGGCUUAAAAACACAUUUUCGAAAUGCAUUCAUUAAUUAAAAAAAACUCAUCUAACAAAUGAGCUUUUUAGAACAGACAUAAGUACUAAAAGAAUGUAUUUGCCCUCAAUCACUCUUAAUCUCUUUCUACCCUUUAACUUCUUCAGAGGCCAAAUGAAACAAACCACCCAUUCAAAUUUUUCGUAUAUCUUAUCCCAUAACCACCUUCAUCUCAUAGAUAAUAUAUUAUUAUUCGCAGCCAACGUAAAAGCAAUUUUGAUUAGGAGACUGCUAAGUUUCAAAUUAAGGCAUAUUGUCAGGUAAUACUUAAAAGUUUGAAUUUAGGGUUUAUGAAAUAAAUGCAUUUAAUUAUUUUAAAAAGCAAAAAGCAAACUUGAGAUGAUUCUUUGGUGUUUAUUGACAGAGGAAGACACCUCACAAAUGGCAUUUUUGUCUAGAGUAGUGGAUAAUGAAGAAGGUUUCUCUUCCCUCAAUUGCAAGUUGGAACAAACACUUGGUAUGUGUACUGAAGUGUAUCUUCAUUUUUCUUUUUAUUUUUUGUUGUCUUUGGUGCUAAAAUUGAAAAUAUGCAUGGGUAGAAAGGAUGGAUGUAAUGGGGGUGGUAAGGAUUGAUGCUUAAGUGCCCAAAUUUUGUUUAUGUUAUUUGUUCAUAUGCUAAAAAUAGUUUCACGAAUAUUAGUAAUAUGUUGCGGUGCAAAAUGUAGCUGCGUAUGACAUUCAAGACUUUAGAUACAUGCAUGUCUACUCUUUUUCAGUCAUUGCUAGGUAGUUCUUGAAAUUUUUUCUUAUUCUUUACUGGUUGUUGGCGAAUAUAAAUGUUGGAUUUAUAGAUACUAAUCUAAAUUCACGUAUGGUCAUGUCAAAAUUAAAAGAAAUUAGAGACCGCUAUAGACUUUAUUUUUGAAAGAUUCUUUUACAGCAUAGAACGUAAUAACUGUGGGCAGCCUAGAAGUUUAGGAGUUACCUACAUUUACAAGAUAUGAUUCGUUUUAAAAUAUACUUCUUAUUUAUGGUAUUUUUCAUCAUUCGAGAUGAAUUGAUUGCAGUUUACAUUGCAUUUGAAGGCUUGUUAGCAUAUGUUUUAAUGGAUUUUUAAAAUCCAUUGAAGCUUACUUUAUAUUGGGAUGGUCAUAUCCAAUAUUAUCUUGAAUUAGUAUUCAUAACCCCAAUUGGCAAGGUUGUUACAAUCAACCAAGGAUAAGAUUUGGAGACUUACUAAUAUAUACUUAUAUAUUAGAGUGGAUAAAUUAACUGUAGAUUUGAACCUCAUCUACAAAUAUCCUGAUCAUGGACCAUGGGGUUUCAAGUUUUGCCUAUUGCUAAUAAUGGAUGAAAAGGAAAUGGAUAUGAUAUUUUGUUUAGCAGCUCAGCAUCCAAAUACUAUGGUUCAUAUAUACGUUGUCCGAGAACCAGUUCUCAAUUGUAGGGAUGGCAAUAACAUCUUCACCAAUAAGGAAAUGGCUCCAUACAUAAAUGUUGAAUCCCCUGGUAUUACUUACACCUACAAUUUCAUGCACUCAAUCUUUUCUUAAAGAUAAGCAUGGUGCACAAUGGUUUGCAUCUUCAAAUAAUGAUAUUAUUUUUCCUACUAUGAGUAGCAUGUCACCGUCAUUGAAGCCCAUCCAACCAUCAUUUUCUACUCUUUUAGCGUCACAAAAUCCAGUCGAAUAUACAAAACAUGAUGAAAGUGCAUGUGUUAACCAAUAAGGAUAGAUGCAUUUGCUAGAAGAUGUUGUUGACUAUCCUAGUUCAUUUUAACUGGAACAUAAUCUAUAAGAAAUUGAAAAUAUGACAACCAUUUUAGCACCUGAAGAACCUAUUGUUAAGGCUGAAACUGGAAAUGCACUUGGAAUAACUGAUGUGAUUCAUAAUUUGGUCUGGAAUGAAGCAUCUUUGCCGUCUAGAGAUGAUGCUUUUUAUUGACGUUGAACAAGGGCAGUCUGAUGAAGAUAGUGAUUCCAAUGUAGAGGUUGAAAAUGGACAAUGCAUUUUUUAGGAUGAUAAUGGUAUUGAUAAUGGUCGUACUGGUGACAAUGUUACUUUUAAUCCUGAUGAAUUACCUCCUUACGAUCCAUCCAGAAUGCAUUUUUAUUUAGAUAUUAGAGAUCUUGAUAAAUUUGUUAUCACUAGUAGGGAAUCUCCAACAAGGAUAGACUUUUGAAGUGAAAAUAGUGUUGCAAUUUGCAAGCAUAUGCGAUUCAGUGACAAAGAGCAAUUAAUAAUGGCAGUCCAUCUUUGGUUUAUGGAGCAAUGCCAUGAGUUUCAAGUUCAAGAGAGCCGAAAGCAUAACAUGAAAGUUUGGGUUUGUUCAUUGUAUUCCGAAACCAUGUGACACGGAUUGGGGUUUGUAUCAAGUGAAUCAUCGAGACAGGUGAAAUAUAAAUUGGACCCUUAAGCACCAACGUCACGCCCAAAUGUGAAUGGAUUGAACUUCAAAUAUACAAGAAGGUGAACUUGAGGAUGUUCUUGGUUAGGCUAGCUUAGACUAUAUGACUUGGUAUAAACAGUGCACAAGAUGGCUUAUUGGCAACCCAUCAUUGAGACCACUACUACCAGCUGGUUAUUAGGGAAUUGCACCAGCUAAUAAGAUGAUGGUAACAACCAUUUAGAUAUUUUUAAUUGACUACUUUGUUUAAAGUUGUAUAUUAGCAACAUUAGAAUUUAAAUUGAUAAAAUUUCAGGUAGAUACGUUGCAUCGUGUCUAUUACAGAGCACUUAAAGCAUUACCACAUGCUGAGGCCAUCUCUAUUCUCGUUCUCACUGAUAUUCAAGAUAUGUGCCAGUCAACUAUGUGUGCCAUUGUAUAUGAGAUGAGAUUGAAACUCCCACCAUUGAAUCCAAUAAUGUCACUCUCAAUGGAUGAAGAGUUGCAACAUGUAGUCCCACAGGCACGUGUUUGAAGAGCCAUACAAGAAGGGUCACAAAGAGUCCAUAGAAGGGAAAGAAGAUGAAGACAUGCCAAAAUUGAUCAAAAUAUGGUACGAAAUCAGAUUUUAAGUCAGGAUAAGUUUGUAGGAGACCAUACGGUGAAUCAGGAGGCUAGAGGCAUGAAAAAUGAGCAAACAGCUAAUGAGUUCAAUUAGACAUAUAACCAAACUUUUGAAAUCAAUCUUGAUCAAGGUCAAGGGGAUGAACAUGCAGAAGGUGAUACCACACAUGCAUAAGCUGAUGAACAUGACCUGACACAUACACAAGGUGAUAACUGAUAAGCAUGAUCAGGCACAUGUGGAGUUUGAUUUGCAACAUCAAACACAUGAACACGUAGAUUGAGAUAAACGUGACACUUGUAGAAAUCGAGGUAAAAAUCAACAUCUACCCUUGCAGUCACUAUCUAAAAGAAUCAGGAGGCAAAAAUUGUGUUACUCUUAGGGCAUUCUCAAAUGAUUUAUUGUACUUGUCUUGUUAUAAGAAUUCUUAUUGUAUAUAAGAAUUUGGAUUGAAAACCAAGUAAAGUUAGUAUAUGAAAUUAGAUGUGAGAUUAUAUCCCCUUAUGACAUAUUUGAAUAUGCAAGUGUUUGCUUAACAGGUGAUAUAAACAGUUGAAAAUGAGGGAAAAUUUUGUCCAUUUAUUUUUUUUUAUUAAAUAUGAUUUAAUACACAAAUAAUUGUAUUACUAAAACAAAUCAAAUUACCUUUUCAUAAUACAAUUGGUAACACUUUUGCUUAAACAUGAUGCCUUUCUAUUGACAUAUAGAAUUUUCACAUAAUUAUGUUUUAACUUAUUAUAUCACUUUGUACCUUCAUCCAAUAUCUACAGUUUAGUGUAUAUUCACCUAAAUAUUUUGUUUAAAGUUUUCAGGAUAUGUGAAUAUUCUAGCUCUUUUUAGGCCAUCAUAUUUUUACUUUAAACAUUUAGGAUUAAUUUUUUAUGAAACCAUAAAAUUUUCUUUAUAAAAAGUGUUACGAUUUUUUAAGACGUAAAUUACCAACAUUCGAGAUACUAAAUAUGUAUGUGCAUAUGUCAAAUUCAAAGUUAAAAAACCUUUAAGCCUUUUGCAAACUUGAAAUGAAAUCUAUACCAAUCAAUUAAUAACAACUAUGAAAUAACAUUUUUUUUUGGAUCUUGACUUGUGUUAGUGAGUUAAAUUAAUAAUAACUCUGAUAAAAUAAUAAGACAAUAUUUUUUUUAAAAAACCUCACAUAACCGAAGUCAAUAUCAAAGAAAUGAAAAAAAAGUAGUACAGAUUGAUAAACAAAAAAUGCAUUUACUAAAUGAGUUUUUUUUUUUUGACAAAAUAGCACAUUUUGGAAAUGGAAUUUUUCGUGACAUAAAAAAGCGCAUUCGUCUAAUGCAUUCUUUAGCCAAUUUUUUCCUAUCUCAACAAAUUUGCAAAAAUUCAAACAACGUAUUUGCAAAUUACAUUUUAGUUUAAAAUAACGCAUUUGGUACAUGUGUUUUUCUCCCUUAGGAAAGAAAUUAAAAAAUUGUCACAUUGGGAAAUUAGUUUAAAAACUCCCACUAUUUGGGGAUUUACUCCUACCCAGACUGUUUUAGUUGGGCUGACCCCAUCACCCACGUUCGCUAGAUACUGCAGCAGCCCGCCACGUCAUUUUCGAUAGUCUUUAAACGCUGGAAUUGUCGAUACAUCCCAGUGUGUCAGGUGGUCCACUGUCAGAAAAAGUCAAACGAUCAUGUGGCUGUGAUGUAUUUCUGUAUUUGGAAACUUCAUGUAAUGUCGAGGUGUACAUCUAAGGGCCCCGCAGAUUCCACUUCUCCGCCGUACAAGGCCAGGCGUCCGCUACGGAGGUCCGUAUCGUGGUAGCUUUAGAUUCGGUGCCAGUUUGGCUGCUGUUUGUAGAGUUCUACGGAUCUACACUUUCUUGCUACGUAGACCAGCUGACUUACCUUACGCAUAUAUUCUCCAGGCUCCAAUAAAUGGAAUAGGAAAAACAUAAAUAUUUUGCCCAUAAUUGCAUAUAUUUUAUGUAAAUAUGCUAUUCAAAAAUGCAAUAUUGUGAAAUCAUUCUCAGUAGCGGACAUACUUUUAAAAUCAUUCUCAUGCUUUUUUUUUUUUAUUUUUUUAGUUUUUAGUGUAAUUGAAAAGUUUUGAAUCCGAAAUCUCUCGUUUAUACUCUCUCUCCCCUUUAUUAUCCAACCUAUCUCUCCUCCCAAUUAUUUCCUUGUUAAAAUGUAACACUGGUAAAAUUAACUCGCCACAUGUUUUGUUUUAACUUGGGACCAAGUUAGUUGUUUGCCGAUAAAUUGACUUUUGUUUAAUGUCCUAAACUUUUCGUAAACAAAAAAAAACAACUAGAAACAAAACAUGGAUGCUAUAGUUGUGAAACCCGCGAUUUUUGGCCCCUAUUUUAUUAUGGCAUUAUUGUAAUUUUUCCAAUUAAUUAAAAAGAUAAAAUUUUCUAGGUAAAAGAAAAAAAAUAAAUAAAUAAAGUAACUGUAGGAUGGGCUAAUGGGCUCUAAUAAAGUAAAACUCUGACUCAAGUCACCUAUUAGUAAGUAUUGCUAGGGUUAGAAUUUUACUAAAACCCUAGACAGAAAAAUAACCCUAGUCUUACCUCUCUUUCGUCUACCUCCCUAGAGCAAGAGCCGUCAGAAAGGAGGGAAGGAGAAGCAGGCGACACGGUCAAUCGAUCCGACGACUAGGCACCUAAACCUGUAAGUUUCGAGUUCAUGUAAGAAAACUUCUUUUUGGUUGUAAACGCUUUAGUAGUGGUAUUAAUUGUUCUAGGAAAUCUUAUGGACAUGUAUUAUUGCUAUUUAGGUUUAGAUAUAUAUGUUUCAAUAAGAUUCGUAUCUGGGUUAAUAGGAAUAGGGGGGUUGAUUUUAACCCUGAUAUUAUAGGGUGUUUGAAUCUGUUUUAAAAAAAAAAAAAAAAGAAAGGGAAGAGCAGCGGCGGCUGCCACUGCUCUGUUUCGGCCAGGCGUUGCAGAGGCAACGCCACAGGAAGAAUUCCAAGGGUUGGCCGAAAGGCCAAUUUUCGGCCAACCCAAGACAAAAAAAAAAAAAUUUGAAAGAUGAUGUCGCCAGCACUUGCUGGGGACAUAGGAAAUGGUUGGCCUUUUCGGCCAACCAAUGGAGUGAAUGUUGUUGCCAGACCUUGGUCAAACAAAUGGUUUCUGACGACCAUGGUCUAAAAGGAAAUGGUUGGCCUUCUGGCCAACCAUGGCUCUCACCCGAAGAGGAAAAAGGGAUAAUUUAGAUGUUAAACAAAUAUAAAAUAAAAUAAAUAAAUAUUUAAUAAAUAAAUUUUGAAUAUAACUAGUCCAUUUUUAUAGGUGAUCAUGGGUAUUAAAAUUCAGGACCCAAUUUAAAGAAAUUGUUAGAAUUCAAGUAUUGGUCAUGUAAAACUUUUAUGUAAUUAAUUACGUCUAAGAUAUUUAAAGAAAAAUCUAGGAUAUCUUAGUUUAGCCUUAUGAGGUUAAUGUAGAUGAGGUGAGAUAAAUUCUAAAUUGUUAAACGAAAUGUUUAAAAUAAUAAUAAUAAUAAUAAUAAUAAUAAUAAUAAUAAUAAUAAUAAUAAUAAUAGUAAAUAAUAAUGCUGAUGAUAACACUAAUAUUAAUAAUAAUCAUAAUCAUAAUAAUAAUAGUAAAUAAUAAUUAAUGAACAAUAAUAGUAAGGAUAAUAACAAUAUGGGCAUGGAGGAAGUAAAUUAAGGAUAUAAACAAAGAUACAAAUAUAAUACGAGUGGAAUAAACUAAGACAAUAAUAAUUAUAAUAGGUCAAUAUAUAUAGAUAUAUAUAUAUGUACAUGUAUACAUAAAUAAUAAUAACGCCUAUACACGCCUAAAAGUGGAAAUAAAGGGAAAGGUAAUAGUAACUAUCUGACAUAUAUAUAAGUGAUAAUAAAAUAAAUUAGCGACGACGAGUAUGGUAAUAAUAAUAAUGGAUAAUCAUAAAUUAUAAGUAAAUAUAGUAAAAUAGUAGUGAGGAUAAUAAACGGGAUUGUGAAUAAUUAUUUUCUUCUAAAUUAGGAAACUUUACAAAAUGAACACUUUCCAAAUUAAGAAACUUUCUAAAAAUAGAAACUUUCUAAAUUAGGAAACUUUCCAAAAAAAAAAUAGAAAUCAUCCGAUUGGAGGGAAAUGCUAUUAGGGUUCAUACAAUGGUCUAGAUAUGAAUCUUGUACUUACUUAGAGGUUGUAUAUUUAUGCAUCUGUAGGAAGUAACAACUAAUUAGGGAACUCAUGCAUUUGAUAGGUACGGUACAAGGAUUUAAGAUAGUUCCACUCGAGCAGCCAAACAAAGGUAGGUGGUACUUACCCUUCUGAGAUUUCAAAUGUGCAAAUGAGAUUCUUGUUUUCAAUACUAUUUUGUUGUGUUGACACGAAAGGUGUUUGAUUAAAUGCUUUACUUGGAUAUUUAUGAAAGCUAUAUUUUACUAUACAAAAAUGGACCGUGUGACUUAUCUGAAAAGUUUUGAUAUGCUCUUAUAUACAAAAUGAGCCGAAUCUUUUAUGAAAACAAAGAUUUAUGUAUAUGAUAUAUGAAAUGAAUUUUGACAAGUAAAGCUCAAAGCAGUCAUGGAAUAGACGGUAGGGGCUAUAGUCCUGCCUAAUUGCCAUGGUAGCCUGGUAUAGAGUCCGGCCGAUUGGUAAGGUCAUGGUAGCCUGGUAUAGAGUCCGGCCGAUUGACAAGGGUAGCCUGGUAUAGAGUCCGGCCGAUUGACCCAAAUAUGAAUGAGACCAAUCGGUAGUCAUGAAACUUAUUGGUCGCCCACCUAGUAGGGGUUUAAUCUCUAGGCUGAGUACUCAGUAGCCGGUCAUUACAUGUACUUGUUAUGAGCUAAUCUGAAAGAAUGAUUUAUAAGCCGAUAUGGAAUGAAUUUAUGAACUGAUUUGAAAUGAGGCUUAUGAACUGAUAUGAAUUGAUUUAUGAAUGGAUAUGAAGGGAUUUGUGAUUUGAGACGAGAUGAUUUAUGACUUUACGAUUUCUCAUGUACAACUAUCCAUAAGAUGCUUUCAAGUUGCUUGCCAUUCUUUACUACUGAUUGCUUUACAAAUGACGUUACUUUCAAAAUUACGGAUAUGAAUGAUAUGCAAACGAUUUGAGUUAUACUUAUAUUUGUAUAUGUAUCUGUAAAACUAAGAGUGCAUGGUCCAACAGAGGGGUAAAUAUUACCUACUGAGCGAUGUGUCGCUCAACCCACUUCUUACCAUUUUUGCAGAUUUUGAAGAGUAUGAAUUGGUUUACGUAGAAGACCCUGAGGAUGACUUUUAUUAGCAUUAGAUGAAUAGAAGUUGGCAGGCUAGCUACCGCUAGUUGCUAGUCUUAUUUACUUUUGUUUCCGCUGUUUCAAUAAAUGUACGAACAUCUUGAAUAUUCGUAGACUUCCUUUUAUAUGUAAUUCGAACCGCGCUUUAUUUGUUUAAAUUAUUUAGUACUGUCAAGUUAAAUUAGUUAAUGUAGCCUUGUAUUCCUGGGUGGGACUUGGGAGUACGGCGAAUGUCAUGUGACGGGCACGUGCGGGCUCGGGGCGUGACAAUAGUCCCUUUCUAGGUAUCUUAUUCUUAAGGUCAAUUUCGCCGUUAGAUAACAGAAAAAAAAAGAGUGAAUGGUCAAAAAUGUUAUUAAACUAUUAAAUAUGGCAUGGGUCAGUCAUUAAACUUUUUCGCAGCUACAAAGGUUACUAAACUGGCAAAAAUGGGUCAAGGAGGUCAUUUUAUCAAAUUCUAUCAUUAAAACAAUCGGUAAAUUAUUGAAAUUCAACGAUCUUUUUAGCAAAAUGACCUUUGGCAACUAAUUGUUUUACCGGUAAAAUUUGACAAAAUGACCUCACUGGCCUUUGUUUGCUAGUUUAGUGACCUUUGUGGUCACAAAAAAAGUUUAGUGACUGACCUGUGCCACAUUGAAUAAUUUAGUGACAUUUUUGGCUAUUCAAUAAAAAAAAAAAAGGAACACUUUUUAGGUAUCUUAUUCUUAAGAUUAAUCUCGCCGUGAGAUACUAGAAUAAAUGUUACUUGACCCUUAAAUUGUCACAAUUAUAAUUAUUUACACAUAUAACCCAUCAUUGAAUGAUGUAUCAAUUAGUCGUUCGAUAUAAAUUCAAGGAAUGGUUCUCUAGAGGAGCCAUAAAAUUUAAGCUGACUUAUCUGCAUCUCAAUUUAGGAUGCAGAAAUCUUUCAGAAGCAAAUUUUUUAAUUUCCUUUUAUGCUUACAGAAAUAAGGUGCUUACUGCUCUAGUUUUUCCUUUUAAUUUUCCUUUUAUUUAGAGGUAAGUAGUACGGUUUAUUAUGAAUAUAUAUAUAUAUAUAUAUAUAUAUAUAUAUGACUGUUCAUAGUUUGGCAUAUAUCAUCCCAUUAGUACAAACGGAUGGUCACUAAUUCAGUACUAGAAAUUAGCAAAAACGUAGUUAAUUUAUAGCUAAAUCCUUGUUCUCUUUACUUCCAGGAAUACCCUCCGACUAGCAACUGGAUUUUUAACAUUUCCAACGCUACCCAUUGCACAACCUUUUCUACAAUAGCAAAGCAGGAGGUUCACAUUGAAGCAUAUUCCUGUUUCUAAUCCAUUUCAUGCAAUUACUUAUCAACGAAAAUUUUACUAUACGAUGGACAAUAAUUGCUAUGUUUUCGAAACGACAAAACUAGUUGUCAGUCAUAUUCCUUACCUUAACCCCAUAAAAUGCUUGUCAAUGUUGUAAAAUGUUAGGUGCUAGCAUCUUGAAUAAUCAAGAGGAGAGCAAGCAAAAGUUCAAAGGAGAAGUAGAGAAAGAUAAACAAAUUGGUGACUAACAGAGAAAGAGAAACAGAGAAUGCCAAAAAAAAUAACGUCAUUUUUCACCUAGAAAAGUAUUGCUCGAGACUCAAUUUUUACUUGUCAUUUAGUUUAUUUUGUCACUUUUAACAAUUGGUAAGUCAUUAUUGAGCUGUGGGAGCAUAUUUCGAUCCAAGACAACUGAAGUACUUACCUGACCGUUAAAAUAGCACGUGAAAACAAUAAAAAUAGUCACAGUACUAGGUAUAUUCUUGGGGAUAAUUGCAGAAGGUUUCUGACAGUUGCACUCACCUCUCUUGAGAUUUUAAAAAUACCACUAACCUCUUCUAGCAUGAAUUUGGGGCACACAGCUGACGUAAGAUAGGGUGAAUUUACUUAUAUACGCUUAGAGUUUAAGGUUGUUAGUAAAUAAAUUUGGGUCAAAAAAAGGGCAAUAAAUAAGUUCAGGAUAACUAAUUAAACAAAAUUAAUAGUUAUUUCUUACCUGAUUAAACACUGGAAGUGCACUUACAAAAUGUUACCACAAAAUGACGCCAAUUGAUACUCUAAUAUGAUGUUAUUUUGUGAUUGAUAACAUUUGAAAGAACAAUCCAAAUUGUAUAUUAUCUACAUAGAAUAUAAGUAGAAACAAGAAAAAUGUAAGGGAAAGAAGCCUCCAAACAAGACUCCAUAAGAGAAUAAGUUCUAGUGAUUUUGGUUGAUCUCACUUUAUCUAAAGCAUUUGUGAAACGAAAGGAGAAAGAAAGCAGAAAUCAAGGCAAAAUUUAAGGAUUUUUUGGCUAAAAACUUGCCGCGAUCAAAAGAUAAUAGGUAAGCAAUCAUUUAUUAUCUCAACUUAAUACAAAAAGUUCUCUUUAGUGCAGGAGAGUUUUUGGAGUUGACUGUACACUUUAUACGUUUUAGAACCUCAGAUUCUUGGAUGUAUAUUUGUUGCUUCUUCUAGUUGUUGCUACUGUACUUGUUUUCUUUAUCCUUAUAUCCUCUUCAGUUUCUUUAAUUGGCUCUAAAUACAACUUCACAAGAAACAAAAAGGGUACGAAUGGAACAAAAUUAUUAUCCCACUUCUCAAAAGAUUUUUUUAAUGACAUUUUCUCUGACAUCGGCUGAAUCUACUAUCAAAAUCUUAAGUUCAAGGGAGGUUAGUGCUAUUUUUAAAACCUUAGGGAAGGUGAGUGCAACUACUAGAAGCCUCAAGGGAGGUUUCUGCAAUUAUCCCAUAUUCCUUAUUCAACGUCCUUGACAUGCAAUGAUCAGACGUGACUAAUUUUGUUAAAGAAAUGCAAAUUGAUUGUAGUAAUAUUAUUUCUACUUGUUCACACUUCAGAAAUUUUACUUUCGAGUGCAAAUUAAAUAUGAAAAUGUUAGUUAAGUGGAAAAGUGACGAGAAAAGACACUAGAUGCAUGCACUAAUAUUUAAGCUGUUAAAAUUGAAAUUUAGGUGCAAAGGAGAAAAAGAAAUCCUCUUAAAAGUAGUCUGUCUCGUGGAAAAUCUGAAUAUAUAAACGACAACAUAAAUCAAGACAUCUUGAUUUUGAUAUAUGAAGCAAGAACUGCAGACGAAAAAGGGGAAAAAAAAAGAGAGGAAGAAAUAAAGAAGAAAUUGUAGUUAAGCCCUGAAGACGGACACAAAAGCUCUUGAUAUUAGUUCACAUUAAGACCAUUACAGAAACUAGUUGUCACUGUCCAGUGUUAAACAUUGAUCUUGCAUAAGCAAGACAAUGCAAAAACAUUUUUUGAAAGAAAAAAAAAAGGCGAGAAACUUUUGCUUAUUAGAUAUUCUGAUCUAAUUAUAAUAGCAGGAAAUGUCGUCGAAUUUUUGGGGAUCCUUUUAAACACAAGCCGUCGGCGGUAUUCUUGAUAUUCCUUGGCGAUGCAGCUCCACCAGCACACUGUCAACAGACGGUGGUUUCAGCCCAAGUGGAAGCGGCUGCCACGGCUUCGAUAAAACGUCUCCUAUAGCUGCAUCUAUGCUCUCCUUGGACUUCAUUUUUCACAUAAAACCAAGGAUCGAAAAUGUCAAAGAUAAUCCAAGGUUAGUUGCUGCAAGCAAUAGCCAGAUGAAAUGCUGUAUUUUAGUACGAAAUUUCUCAUCCAUGGAUUUUCUUUACAUCAUCACAAUUAUGCGUGUUGGUCAAACAAAAUACACGGACAACCGUACGAAAUAAAACCAGCUGUCCUUGAAAAAUCUGAGCUUUAUGCCGAUUAAUUGACUGGGGUUCCGGUCCAGAUUGGAUAGUGAAUUUGGAAUUUGAUUGGUCAAACUGUUUUGUACACAUUCUUGAAUGCAUUGUACAGAUUAAGAGUUGAUUAUUGAUCACAACUCAUAGUCUUAAUUGUACAAAUGACCCUUGAAAUCACAAAUCUUAGUGCUCAUUUGAAUUGAAGCUUUUGGGAGUUUAUGUAUAAUAAAAAAAAAUACAUCGUAGCAAUGUGAUAUAUACAAAAUAAAAAAAAUAAAAAAUACAUAAAAAAUGAUGAUAUUUCAACAAUUUCUCCGUGAAAACUAGGGUUCUUAGUAAUUCUAAUUUAUAAUUUUUUUUUCUAGAAAAUCAACCAUGGUUUCCCACCGACUCACGAUGAUUUCAACCUAUAGCCUAUCGGCAACGGGUGAAAUAUCUUAUCAAUUAGGCCAUCGUACGUUGUCUUCUAAUUUAUUAUGACGUAAAACAACAAAUUGUUCCUUGUCUGCCUUUCAUCUGAUCCUCGUGAGAGUUUCAGUAAGCUUAGACAAGAUAUGGUACAACCAGUAGACACGGGUAACUAUUACCACAGAUGAGUGCGAAAAGAAGAGAAUUCUUACCGGGUGAAAAUCAAUGGGAGGUUGAGGUACGGGUUGUCCAGCAGGGGCUGUUGGGACAGCAAUGCCGGGGUCUACUUUGUACAGCGCUGGUGGUGGGAUGCCAGGUACAGGUGGAGUCGGAAAUCUCUGCAUGAAAACGUGAAUACGUAAGUACUAUAAAGUUCUUUAGGACUGAAAAGUAUUUGUCACCACAGUUGGAAAUGAUUGGGAUUUUUCUUUUUUCAGAUGGGAUAUUCUUCAGAAAUCAGAAUUCUGCCUAAAAGACACAACUGUGGCCUAUUACUAGUUCAAUCAAGGCUCGUGCACUGGGGUAGUCCAACUUAUGUUGCAUGCGCCUUUAAAUUUAAAAUUCAAUCAAUAAAUUUACCCAACUAAUUAAUUUGGUGUAUUUACAGCUACAAAAAGAGCGAAAAUUCCCCGCUUACUGUUGGUGCAAGAUGUGGUGGAAAGCAAGGUGUGCCUGGAGUUAGAGAGUUUGGAACCUGCAUAUCAAAGAAAAGUCACAUAUUUAAUAAUUGAGAAAAUUACCUUUUACCCUCCUGAUUUGGUGCUUCAUUAUUACAUAACUCUCUAUGGUUUAAAAAUUUAUACAUAGUCCCCUCAGAAUUUGGGUUAAAAUAUCACCAUUAGUUUUUUUUUCCAUUAAAAUUAACGAUCAAUAUUAAAAAGUCAAAGUUAAAUUAAUAAAUUGAUAAAUUUACCCUUUGACUGCUUCCUUUUUUUUUCAAAUACCAAAAAGAAGAAAGGAAAAUAAAAAAAGAUAAUAAGAAAUGGAAAAUACCAAAGUCUUUAUGAUUGCAAAUGUCAUUAUAGGUUUUUAAACUAAAUCUUUAAUGGUAUUUCCAUUUCUUAUUUAUCUAUUUUUUUUAUUUCCCUCUCUUCUUUUUUAAUGUAAGGAAAAAGAAAUUUAAUUAAGAUCUAUUAGGUCAAAUUUUAGUUGUUUUUAAAUCACCUCUUCUCUUCCCAAAGGAAAAAGGAAAAGAGAAAAACAAAUAUUGACAGUUAAUGUUAAUGAAAAACUAAUAGUGACACUUUAAUUCAAAACAUGAGGGUGUUGUGUAUAGAUUUUUAAAUCCCGAGGGGGGAUUAUGUUUAUAUUUUUAAAUCAUAAGGGGAUUUUAUGAUAAAGCACCAAACUACACGAGUAUAAAAGGUAAUUUAUCCUUAAUAGUUCACAAUUUCAAUAGAAUUAUUUUUUUCUGAGGAAAAUAAAACAUCAAAAUGAGAAGGGAUUUUCUUACACGAGCAUGGUGUGAAUGCCAAAAGGAAGGGUCUGGCGGUGGUGUUGGAGGGUGGGCCGGUGCGGCAGGUGCCCAAGUAACUGGUGGAGGUGGAGGUGAUGGUCCUAAAUGUUUAGGCCAAACGGGCAUUAGAGAUUGGUCGACGGAUGGAUGACCCCAGACAUGCAAGGGUCUAAAAUGAGGCAUAGGUGCCAUGGGAGGAAAUCCCAUAGUAGGGGCAAUCCAAUGGUUCAUUUCUCUCUUUCCUCCUGCAGCAGCGGGCGCGGCGGCGGCGCCAUACAUUUGCCGUCUUUGGCUCCAGUUUGCUGCCUCAGCUUCUCGAGCUAGCAGAUGCUUCCUGUGGGAUCUGUACUUCUGCACAUAUAUCAAACUUUGGUAUCAAACGUUUGCACUUGUAUCAAACUUGAGUAUCAAGUUCAAGCCAUAAAAAAUGAUUCUUUUUGGUCCAAAUGUUCAGUUAAUUAUAUAUGUACAAACAUGAGGAAGAAAGAUAAGGUUUAGUGCUUGAAUUAUUCUUGACAGAAUCACUAAGAAUAAAUGUCAGGGAAAAGUCUCCAAAAUGAGCGCAACAAAAAUUGUACCAACUUCAUGGCGGAAUUUUCUUUUCUAAGUUAAGAAUUUACCGACUUGGUGAUUGUAACGGAGAAAGAAAAUGCCGGGCCUUGAAGGAAGAGGAAAAAUAACUUUCUUUUAAAGUGCUAUUGGCUUGGUUCGAAACUCAGUAUGCUCCGUAGAGUAAGAGACAAAAGGCUAAGGAAAAGAAACAAAAGUUGAAAUGUCAAGCUUUCGAUCUGUCUUCUGUCUCAGACUGAAGACCCUGAAUGCAUGUAAUGUGCAUACAUUAAAGUGAAUGACAAAAACCAUAUAUAUGGACUAGUACUACUGCAAUUUUUCUACCAUCCUACUGCAAUUUUAUGCAACUUAAGAAAAGUUUGAACUGUUUUUAGAUUGUUCUUCCACUCUUUUUCUUGCACAUAAGGAGGAAUAGAAAGGAAAAGAAAAAUACUCAUACUGCAUGGUGACCUUGAUUUAAACAAGGGUUUGGAAAAUAGGAGGACAUAUGAGAGAAAACAACAGCCUUGCACCUGUAUGUAUCUAGUUGAGAGGAUGAAGUUUAUUAUUGUUUUAGGGACAAGAAAAGAAGUGAAAAAGAACAAGAUAAGCUGAACCUAAGGACAAGAAAUAAUUUUACUUCAGGCUAAAAAAAAGAAAACAAAGGCAGAUUCCAAACAAAUCUGUGGAACUUAGGAGAACUAGAUAGAAGAAAAGGAAAGAAAAAGAGAGGAAAAUGAAGAAAAAAAUUGCAUACUUGAAGAUGGCUGGCUAUAUUGUGCCGAGUGAGACAAUCAAUUCCCAUAAUCUCAAGAAUUCUUGAAGGGACUGCCUUGUCCACACCCAGCUGCUCCACUGCUUGUACAAACCGCCUGUGCAGCUCUGGCGUCCAGUCCACCUUCACACAACUCAAGAAAUUAUUUCCCAUCUUUAAAUACAUAUUACAACUAAGUACUAACUAAAAAUAAAUAUUCAAAAAAUGAUCUCUUUCUCUCACACACAAGCGCGCAAGAAAACAUGUUCAGACAAUCGCUUUCAUAUGAAGCUUUAAAACCCUAUCAAUAUUCUCGUGAAGUUUGCUUCUCAGUAAGUUUGUGAACAACAAACUGAGUAGCCAUUAGCCUAUUAUAUAAAUAUGUUAAAAAAAUUUAGUAUAUAAGUUUUAGUUAUAAUAGUAGUGCAUAUAAAACAAGCUUGCAGACUAAACCCUAGAAACUAAGAUUAGCUUAAAACCUAAUUAUCUUAAUUACCUUAACUUUCCUCUUCCCUUGGGGAUUAGCUUUUGACUGUGUAGAUGAUUUUCUUGCUUUAUCAGCUUCUUUAGCAGAAGGGUUCGCGGCUACAGAUUCAUCUCUUUUACUCAUGACCAUAUCGUCAGUCUGAGUCAAGGUAGACCCCGAGCUAGCAUCCGGGCCUGAAUAAUUAGCCUUAUCCACCUCUUCUUUUGCUGAAUUUUCCUCCAUUUUCUCAUUGGAUGUUGAUGUGGUUGUAAUCUCUGAUUCCUCACCUCCACUGAGUGAAAAUUCAGCAAGCAUCUCAGGGUCCAUCUCCAAAUCUGGUAAUACAUCUUCAUCAUUGAUACCAACAAAUAGGUCAUCGAAAUCAAUACUAUCAAGCAAAUUCCCGCAUGAAAAGUCCGGAAAGUCGUCUCCUCCAUUCUCAAAACUCUCCAUUUCGUCCUGUCUUUCAUCUUUGGUAGUCCUCAAAGGAGACACAGCAAGCAUUCCAAACACUAUAAUCAAGCUCUUUGCUAAAAAAAAAAAAAAAAAAAGGCUCCCUCUUAUGUAGGUUAAUCUCUAAGUAUAUGCACUAGGUGGUGCAAUUCUAAAGUUUUUCGAUAUUUCAUGCAACCACCACCGCUGAAGGGGUGAAUACUAGUAUAAGGUGAGUUCUUGAUUUUCCGGUAAGUCUUUUCCCGGCGGAGGAAGGAGGGACAACCAGUGCAAAUGGGGUGGUCUAAUUUUUGUUGUAUUUGGCAGUGUAAGUGGGAGUGUGUAAAGCUCAGAUCUCCACCACAACUUGUAUGGAGGGUUCUCAGAUUUGUAUUUAUGCGUUUGUUUUGGAUUGUUUUAUAUUUGGUUUUUUUUUUUUUGGUAAUAAAAGGGACGUUUUAUAUUUGGUAACAUAUAUGUAUAUGUAUAUAAUAUAUAUUGUGCAAAGUUUAUGUGUUUUGUGGAUGUCCUUUUUUUGAAGUUUCAAACAAUCUAUUGAAGUGCCCCGUGAGCUGUUUUAAAUUAAUUUGUCUACAGACUUUAGGGGUGAGAGAAAGGUCCAAGUUGAUAUCAUAGGCUUCAAGGAAUUUAAUAAUGACGUAUUUAAUCAUUUUGUUGGAUUGAAAAAGAUUACACCAUUAUUUUUGUUUCCUUUUCAUGAGUUAAGAUAACAUAUAGAUACAUUUCCAGUUUCAUAUAUCUACUUACAUACAUAUCCAUAUGAAGUAUAUUUAAUGACAACAACCUAAGGAAAGCGCCAAGACCCAUUAAAUGUUUACCACUUUUUGGCUAGUUUUUCGAGCAAGUGGUUGAUUAAUGUACAAAGAGGUGCACAGAUUUCCUUUUUUUUUUUUUUAUUCUACUUUUUUAAAAUUAAAAAUGAGUAUUUAAUUGCUCAUAGAGAGCUUAAUCACCAUCACCCGGAUGUAACUUUUACCAUCCAGCACCCAAAGAACAAGAUACAAACAUAAUUUCUAACACAUUUUUUUUAAUUUUCCAAUCAUUUUUUAUAAUUCAUAUGCAUCACAUCGCAAAAAUUAUCAUAGUAAUUAUUUCAAAUAAUCUCCAAUCCAAACACAUUUUGCGCAAGAAACUGAGUCCUGACAAUUUUUUGAUCUUUAUAGCCCCGAUAAUCUUUGCAUGCUUUCGACUGCCAUGUCUAAUAUAAAUCUCUGGACCCAAAAAAAGAAGAGUUUAAAUUUGACAUAUGCAAAUAAUAUAAGAUAUUGCUAAGCGAGAUUGGGUUAGUUCAAGCAAAAGAGAUUCGACAAGUUAUAAAAGAAUGGAGAAGAAAGAACAAAAUUUGCUAAGAGGGACAUGUUAUAACUUGCACGAGAAAAUGCUAAGAGAGAACACUAGAAAAUCUUGAAACUCUAGAAGAGGAAAAACUCUCGUUAAAAAAAGAAAAGAAGUCUAAUUAAGAACGAGAAGAGAGAAAAAUUGUAUUAGGAGGAAAUAACAUCCAUUAGAAGAGAGACUUAAAGGCUUCUUAAUUAUCCAUAGUAGAGAAGAACUUUGUGUUAGAACAACAAUAAAGAAAAUACUUUAAAAUGGUUGCAAAACUAACAAGAAAAAGGUUUCAAAUCGUAAUUAAAACUAUGCAUUUGGAAAAUGUUUUGUAUUACAUUGACAGGCUAUUAUAUUCCUCUGCUCAUAUUAUGCAAUCAUUGUUGGAAAGUAAGAAAGUUUUCUUCAAAAAAAUUUAAGCAACAACUAAAAUUUACAAAUUCAACAUAUUAAUUAAAAGACUUUUUCCAUCUUGCAUUAUCACUUUUCAAGUUGGAGGCGUCUAUGCAAGUAGAAGUUUGUACAUGACAUGACAACGUACAAGUAGACGUGUAGCGUGAUGAUCUUGACCAUUAGACAGGUCAUUUUAUCGACCCAAAACUUGUACAGGCUUGAGUCAUGGUCAACUAGUCAAGCCGUUGUUUAGCCAUUCGAUAUGAUUUAGUUCAAUUUUCUGUAAUAUUUGGACUGUAUCUCUAGUGUUACAAAAAUGCUUUUAUGAACUUGACUUAGUUUGUCAGAUCAACUGAACAUGUAAGCUGCGGUACAUGUACCUGUGGCGAUGCAGUCCUUUCCUUCACCUAUAAUUGCACUACUUCCAUUAAUUCUCUGUUUCCUGCCUCCUUCUUCCCAGUUGCAUCUUGAACGUGAGGCUUAUUCAAUUUUAUUUACCAAAUAUCCAGAAUUUGGUUGACUCUUAUUAGGCUAUAUAAAACAUUGCAGUCUAGCUCCAGACGGGUCAAGGGUUUAAAUCCUUGCAGUUACCUUUAAAUUCAAAGGAUGCGCAAUGAUAUACCCCUUUGAUUUAAUAGUGGUGAGUUUAAUUAUCUCCCUCUAACUUUCGCGGUUUAGUCGGAUGCUCCUCUAGAAUAAAUUAGAGUAGGAGUACUGGUAUAUAAAUGUUACCGAUUAAUAUAAAAAAAAGUGAAAUUUAUUCAAUUUAAUUUACCAAAUGUACCAAUAUUUGAUUGAUUCUUACUCGGCUCUAUAAAUAAUGGCAGCCUAGCUCCAGAUUCUGUGCCCGAGAAAAAGGGGGGGGGGGGUGUGGGGGAAGAAAGAGCUGUGUUUUAGCGAAAGAAUGAAAAGUCAAGUGGCGUAUCAAAGUAGAAAAUUGGAAUGGGAUUUAAGUAUGCAUUAAUUAGCUCAAUGCUUUGAAAUGCGAAACUCAACUGUAUUAACUGAGAAAAAAAUCUAGACAUAAUAUAAAACCACAGAUCUAUAGAUUAAUGAAUUUCCUUGAAAUUUGGAAUGUGUAGCUAAAAUAAAAAAGGAAUGUGUAAGUUCAAUGAUGAAACAUUCAAUAUUACUUUAAAAAAAAACACGAAAAGUAAACGAAUAUUAACCAUUGACAAGACUACUUAGUUUAUGCUUUACUGAUCAUUAAAAAGUAAACCUGAAUAAAAGAUUAUGCACAUUAGCAAUCUUUAAUGGUCAUGAUUCAUUAGCUUGUGCCAUAUACUUUACAGUGUUUGGGUAAAUGAAGAUCAUUAACGGCUAUAAAUUGUAAUUUUUGCUGGCAAAGUAUUUAUGGGUUUUACUUGAAAAGUGGUCCUUUUAGACCAUAGUUCCAUUACCAGAACAUAAUCGCACUAAAUCAUUUCCUGUCCUAAUUCUAAGUCAGCUUCUUCCGCAGCUUGUUUUGAAAAAAAAGGCUUGACUUCAAUCUUAUCUGUUUGCAUCUCAUAACGUUGAAAAUUGACUAUCCUGGUUUACAAACAGACUAGUAUCGAUUAAAUAGAUUAGGAAAAUUCAUCUUCUAUGUGCAAAAGAAUGGUCUACAGCCUCUAAACCUUUUGUUUCUUUGUAUUAAUAGUAGUCUUCCGCUCACUCUGUUGAUGACUCAAAUCCGUAAUCUCUCAAUUACAGGUGAAACAUUUCAAUGCUUCGUCAAAUUUAUGGCUCAAACCAUGCUAUCUGUAUAUGCUUGCUUCUUUCUGCAUUGCAUGAUCUUACACAGUGGAAUAUGUUACUGAAGCUCGAACAAAUGUGCUCUUCACCACCCGAGAUAAGAUAAGCUUAUAGAAAAAGGUAAAAGGUCUUGUGUACUAAUUCCUUGGCAUUUUCCUAUGGACUCAAGUCAACCGUUCUUGUCUCCUAUGGUUAUAUUCCAUGGCUUACUAUUGCAAGAACACGGGCAUGAUCUUUUUCUUUUUUCUUUUUCAAUAAAUACAUCAGAUUGUGGCUGGGCAAAUCCAAGCCUCAGCAAUUGCCAUUCUAAUAUUUCAAGAUUGAACAUAAUUAAAAUAAUACAUGCAGACACUGACGUACGUUUUUACUGUUUAUCAAAACGUCUUGUUAUAUGUUCAAAAUUUUCUCAACUUUUAACCAUGCAUCAUCUAGUUUAAUUGAACCUUGGUGUGAUUAAACUAGCCUUGUCUUAGUUUAGUGUGAUUUGUGAUUGCUCUAGGCAAUUUGCAUUGAAUUUGACUUAUGUUUGAUGUGAAUUGGUUUUUGACAAUAGACUCAAAGUACUGAAUUCAAAUUAUCUCUCAAGCUAAGAUUAUCUCAUGCAGUUGCAGGAAAGAUUGCUUCUGCAACCACCAAGAAACUCAACCCAUUUGCAUCACAUAACCCUUAAACAUGCAUCAAACCAUUUUGAUGUUCUUACCCUCCAUACAAGCAAACAACAUAUGUUGGGCUCUAAAAUCAUUGUUUUCUUUUUUAAGAGAAACAUUUCCCAUCUAGUAAAACCGACCCUUUGCUCAACCCUCUAUCUCCUUUGGCAAGCUUCACUUUGAAUUUUUGGAGAUUUAUUGUGAUUUUGAAUUUCAAUUUUACUAUGUUGCUCUUUAUAAGUAUUGCACGUAAUCUCUGUUUAGGGCCACAAAAAAAAAUUACUUAGCUAUAGAUUAUACCUUUCUAUGGUUACCAAACGGUUCAACUUGAACGAAAGGUCAAAUAUCAGAAGAAGAUAAGUGAAAUUUUUGAGAAAUGCACAAGAACAAGAAGACCUUAAGCUAGCUUUCCUUGUUGAGCAAAAACCUAAGACGGCUUUUCGUUGUCAAACAAAAAAGAAAAAACACUAAUGCUAGUCUCUUCCACUCUUCCUACUCAAUUGUGAUUGUUACUAAGAGAACAUACAAAUUGAGUAUUUUAGCAUUUUUUCUGUUGCUUAAUUAUGCUUCUUUUUUUUUAAAAAAAAAAAAAACUCUUUUACACUUGACUAAUCAAUUAAUGGACUUGUUUCGGGAACUUCAGUUUCCACCCUAAAAAGUCUGAUCUGCUCCUUUUCCUAUUCAAAAACCAAUCCCUAAUCUCUAUGUUUUCAGAUGGAGAAUUAUUUGCCAAUGAAGAGAUGUCAAAGGGCUUCUUACUUCCCAAAUAAUCAGAAGAUCUUGGCUCCUGAAUAUUUAGACAACAGAGAGGAAAAAAUGAAAAAAAAUUAAACUAAAAAUUGAAUGGAGAGAUCUUGGCGGAAUUGCCAAGUUUGAAAUUUAGCACAAAUCUGCAAGGAAAUAGCCCACAAGUGACUUAUUUAUCUCAUGCUCAUUCUCUAUUUUCACAUUUUCACCUUAAUUAUUGAUAGCAAGCACAAUUAAGACGCAUUGGAUAAAAGUACAGGUUAACUAUUCAACUAUGAAAAAUAGGGACAAGGGGCCGAACAGUUAUCUAGCAAACUGAUUGGAGCGGUUUUGUACAAAAUUCACGUUGCGUAAGUUUAUCUGCACACGAUAUAACUCACUUUCAACAACGUAUAAUUAUUGUUGGAUUUGGAUUUUAUUCCAUCAAUCUAAACCCAACAAAAUAAACAGUUGCUGAGACAAAACCCAAACUCAAUAAAAUAAACGAUUAGUAGGAUAAAAUCCAAACCCAACAACUAUAGAACAAAAUUUUAUGAAUCCCACACAUAAUGUAAAAAACAAGUACAAGAUAAAAUUUGGAUUUUACUUUUUUGUUUGUCAAAUCUUAUCUAUGAACUUUGAGGAACGGUUGCUUACUGUAACCGUUCUUGUCCCUCUUCCGAGAAAUAGAUAUCCAAAUAGACCAACGUAAAAUUGUAGCUGUCGGCCUCUAUACAGAACCGGAUAUUGAGACCAACGGAAAAUUCUGCUCAACAGUAUACUUUCAAGGAUAAACAUGUUGUUGUCAAGGCAAACCAAAUGAGGAAAAAAAAGGGGGUUUAAGAUCAGUCUUUCCAUGUUCUCUCAUAAGACGAAACAAACAAGGCAACAGAAAUAAAUAGCUCUUAAUUUGUCAAAUGUCUGAAACCACGUUAUUUAAAGAGAAAAAGGGAAAAAAAAAGAGAAGAAGAAGAAAAUAUACCCAGUGUUGCAUAGGGUAGGUACUAUAUCCAGUUUAUUGUGAUUGGAUUCGAAGUGAAAUUCUUUUUGUUAAGAUGUGUUUUUUGAAAACAUGUUUUAUAAAAAAUUUCAAAAACGGAUGCAUACAGAGAAGUAUCUCCUAGUUCCCACCUACGCCAAGCAAUUUUAAGUAAAUAAAAAGGAAAAAGGGUUGUAUUUCCAAAAAAAAAAAAAAAAGAAGUGCAAAAAGGCAACCAAAAUUCUUCUCGAGGAAUUGACAAACCAGAUUGAAUGAAUGAAAACGUUUUCACCUUUUUCCAUCUUCAACUGUUAAACGGUCUGUCCUCUAUGGCAUCUAACUCUAAAUUUAGACGGUGCAUUCAGUCCAAAAUGAAGAAUAGAAAAUACUGUGGAGAGUGGAAACCACGGAAUUGAAAUAAUUUCUCACCCACACAUAUAUUAGAUUUUAUUCAAUAAUUUGUCUGACACUUUAACAGACAUAUAUAUAUCAAUGCACAGGAACAUUUUGGCUUUUGUAUUUUCAUUUUUGCAAUUAUCUAGUCAGAUGCUGCAGGGAUUAGCCUAUGAAUUGAGAUAUUCCUCGAGAUUGUCUACAUCAUAUGCUGAAUAUCGUUUUCUAAGCUUUUUUCUUAAUUAAAUACAUGUUCAUUCACCUUCAACCUUCAGCUUAGGUUAAUUGCCAAACUGUAAGAAGCUAAGCAAUAAUGAUCAAGACCCAGAAAUUCUAUUAAUUAGUCCCUGUUCAGAAUGUACCUACCAAGUCAAUAAUUAGUCACACCCCCGGAUAAACAAUUUAUGAAGAUAUCAUUUUUAAUUUUAAAGGCAAAUUAUUAAUUUUUUUUUAUUAUUCCAUGCCUGUACUUGAGUACUCAGACUACAAAUCCAUCUAUAUAUAUAUAUAUAUAAUACAGCUGAGUAUUACAACUAUACAUCAGAAAAACAAAGUCAAACUGACAAAUUAGCAGGUAGGUAAAAUUUCAGCAAAAGAUUAAUGAGAUUUAUGUCUUUAAUGUAAAAGAAACCGUUGUAAUUACGGUCGAACCACAAUCAAUUCAAACAAUUGAAAUAUUUAAUCUAAACGUGCUUUUUUUUUUUUUAGUUUUCCCCCUUGUAUUUAUAUUUGCAGGGGAGGAAUUCAAAAGGAAGAAGCUAGGAUGGAACGGGAUGGAUAAACGUCAACCUCUAUUUUAGAACCUGUAAUCGUGGAGAUCAACUACUUUCAUAACUUAACAUUGGUACAGUUUGAGUUUAGUCCUUCUUAAUAUUCCAGUUAUGCAAAGCUCAUUUGACGUCAAGUCACCAUUUUACAUGGAAGAAAUUUGACGGGGCAAAAAAUUUAUCCAAGAAAAUGGUGGGUCUUUUAUGUCAUAUGGAUCUUGGGACCAUAGAGGAAACAAUUUGCAAACAGGAGCUGCGUUUAGGUGACUCAUUUGUUAGUACUUCUAAAAAAAGACAUGGAUGUCUUUAUUGUUGGUGACGAUGGACAAUGAAAUGCGUGCUACAGAAUGGGGGCCUCAAACUAGCAAUAAUUGUUGGUGAGGCUGAUUGUAUGUUGUUUCGUAUAGGAUUCUAAAUUUCCCUUUCAUUUGAUUAUUCUGUCUAGAAGGUCCCCUCUUCUACCCACCAAAAUCCAAAAAUGCUAGUUUUGACCCCACUUACCAGCUCAAUAAUUCAUACCCCAUUGGCAAGAUCUCAAGUUCAAUUUUUCCAAUACAAACUGUAAACCGAAAUUCAAUUUGUGUGGUCAAGAUCCUUUGCUAGCUUAUUCUUGUUUGUAUCAAGCACGAGUACUUAUCAGUUUUUGUAUUUAAAAGUGUUUUGCAAUAUCUAUUCGCUACAUUCAUGUAUCGACUGCCGGUAGAGAUACAAGCUGCAGAAUAGACUCAGAACUCGACUCUUCUAUCUAGAAUGGAGUUGGCUAGGUAUGGUCUAGAUACCUCCUACGAGUUCUGCUAUGUGCUCUUUUUUAACUUUUACUUUUCCUUAUCAGGCCAGGCACUCGUGUUGGAAGCAGUGUUAUUAGACUCAGACCAGAUCGGCCAAUUUGACCGGUCCGAUCAUGAAUGACUUUUUUUUUAAGCUGGUUUGUAGUAUAAAAUCGUUUUGGUCAAAAAUCAAUUAAAAUCAUAAAGAACUAGCUAAACCAAUGACCAGAUUCGACUAAUUGACUUGGUUCUCAAAUUUUUUUUUUUCUUUAUUUCCCCAAACAUAAUUUGAUUUACAUUUAUUAUUAGGAAUAAGAAAACGUCACCCAUUUAGUGUAAAUAUCAAAAUCACUCGCUUUCCUAAAUGAUCUCUAAAUCAAGAUGUUUUCAUUCCUAUAAUCUCAUUAAUUUAGCAUCACCAAUUUCAACUUGCAUUAAUUUGUUUUAAUUUAGUUUUUCAAGUAAUUUUGGAGAAUGGACAUAUUUUAUCCAUGAAUUUACAUUCUUACAUAUAAUUAGUAGGUGUACAUUUGAUUGCAAAUCUAAUAUUUUUGGAACAUUUUUCAUGAUUGACCAAAUAUAACUACGAACUUAAUUUCAAUAUUUUUGAAACUUAUAAAAAUAUAAAAUAAUUAUAACAUCAUGCUGACGUCAGCGGAUUUUUGAGAACGGUCCUACCGAUCUAACCAAUUGACUCCUGAUCCAAUAAUUUAACCGAGUCGCUAUCCGGUCCGAAUUUAACACAUUGGUUGGAAGCACAGGAGAAUCAAUUUGUGAGAGACCGCAAUAUUGAGGCUAGUCCAAGUUAUCCAUUAGAGCAUAUAUUACCGCUUAAUUGCAUCUCAUUAAUCUUCUUGACCUUGUAUAGACGGAGGUAUAAAUGUUAAAUUCAUACCCUUGAUCUUAAAUUCACUUGAAUUCUAACGAUACAAGUUAUAAAUGCAUCAAAAGUGUUACUAAUACACCUAAAUUACACUUAAUUUACCACAUGAAUGCAGACACUCAUAUUUAAUGUACCUCCCAUAUUUAGACACUUUCUAAGAUUAGUUUCACUUUUAUCAAAUUGGUGUCUUCAAAAUUGUCCGAGGGCCUAGGUUUUUCCUUUUUUCUCUUUCUAGUGACAAGGAAGCUUUACUAAGUGUCUUUAAGUUUUCAGCAAAAUGUUAAGACAUAUCCAUCAAGUUACCCAGAUAUGACCUUAUAUAGGGACAAAAGUGAUUCAUAUGCGAAAAUUGUGUGCCACUCUCUAAUUUUACCUAUGCAUUAUGUGUAAUAGUAGUAUUACAAUUUUUCUUACCAAACCCUCUGAUCAGUGACAUGUGAUGCAGAUGAAAGCAAGUUACUGUUUCAGUUGAUGGGAAAUUCUUCAAGGACUAAGGCACAUGGGAGAUUCCAGAGGAUAUCAAAUCCAAUUAACUAGGAGGACAACUAAUGAUUUCCGUGCACGAGGGUUGAGGAUUUAACGUAUGAGGUGGUCUCCCUUCGUGGCAGUUAACUACGUACUGCGAAGGGCUUCUCUUCCGGUGCAGACUGUGCAGUACAACAUGAAAUGAUGUACAUGAAAAGUGGAAGACAUGCGGCAUAGAAAGGUUCGAAGGACCAUUAAUUAUAUGUUCCAUGCCUUCCAAUUUCCACUUCUAGCCCCAUAUCUUAUAGUUACUUGUCAUUUCAACCCCCAACCAAUAUUCUUAACUGGAAAAAAAUUAUGAUCUAUUCGUUUCAAUUUCAUUUAGUGGCAUAUUCUAAAAGGAAAAAGUGCAACUGAGGUGAUCCAAACAAUCAAGGAAGUUCUAGUUUUCUCCCCCUAGCUUAAGGGUCCUUUUCAGAUUGAUCCCUAAUAUUUUCGCAGCGAAUAUAUUCUAAGUCUCACAUUAGAAUUACUAUAAGUGCACAAUAUGAUCGAGAUUCCCUGAUAGCUGGUCCAUAGGUUCAAGAGAUUACUACUUCUAGUCCUUGUCCUUCUUUUGUAAUUUGGUCCCUAUUUUUUUCCUUUCUUGGGGAGAUUAAUGCUAAUUUUAACCAUUUUUGUUUCGAGGUAUGCUACAGAGCUAGGAAGAUGUGCUGUCUGCUGCUGGUCCAUGCAUUCAUAAUUCUAACUAUAACAGGUACACAAAAGAUACAAAAUUUUAAAGGUAUAUAAAGUAGGGUUACUUGAGUAACCUUCGUAGAUUGUACCAAGGAAAAAAAAAAUUAGCAAGUUGCUAUAAAUUUGUGAUAAUUACGUCUCAACGUACUUCAAUCUCAACAAUUAGCAAGUGUGUUUUUCCUUCUGAUUUGACGAUACUUUUGUUCUGAUUAGUGCUCAAACAGAGCCAAGCAAAGCAAAUAACGAAUGGGGUUUAAGCAUGAUACAUCUAACCAUGGAAAUGCAUAUGUAAUGCCAAAAAAAAUUCAGUGCAAUAUUUCAAGUCGUCCUUGAUCUAAACAAGGACCAGCGUAUUAUAUCCACACAAUAUUUUGCAAACUCUUUUGCCACCACUCUCUAGCCUAUACAUGGACCAAGAAUAAGGUCGAAUAAUUUGAAAUGUGCCCACAAAGACAGGAGCUAUGAGUAAUCCUUUUCAACAACAUUAUGAGGCAGUUAUUUUGUUUUCAUUAUAAAAGUUGAUGGGAUUUUUCCUUCUUCACAGACUUGGGCAAAGAAAGGGUCCUCGGAAAGAAAAGUUGCCCUAGCCACCUAGUAGCCAUGGCGGACAUGGUGAUUCGCCGCAUCACCCUCUUUUGUUUUAAUUUUAGGUAUCUAAAUGAAAAUGAAAAGAGGCACUUGCUAGUCUUUGAGAUUUUUUUUUUAUUUUUGAUAAAGAUCUCAAGUUUAUAAUUGGAUUUUGCAAUAUAAACUUCUCUAUAAAUUAGAUUUCUCUCGUUAUCAUAUGAAUUCAUACAUUAACAAUUAUUAUCCUAUCUUAUAUUUAUAUAUUUUCUCUAAUUAACAUUACUUAUUCGAAAUAUGAACUCCUGAAUCCCAUUUUAACAAAUGUCUAUUGGGUACUCGUUAGAUAGACCCAUUAACUAAUUUGAUGGUGAAAUUUCUUUUUCUUUUUUUUUUGAAAUUUCCUUUUUUCUUGUUAACUCAACUUUUUGCAAAUAAAAUUAUUUUUUUUCAUGAAACAUCUUCGUUUCAAUAAAUCUACACUAAUGGCAGAAACUACAUCAAUCACACAUAGAUGGAAAUAAAAUUCAAUACUAGAUACUUAGAUGUAAAGAACAGAUGCUUAGAUCAGAAAAUAAAAUUCUAAAUGCAUAGUAGGUAAAAGUUUUAGAGGUUACAUGCAUGGAACACUGUUGUGGAUGCGGUUCUAACACGGUUUGCUAAAAUUGAAGGUAACUUCAACUUGUACGUGGAGUAAUAUGUACGCUGGAAUUUUGAGCUUGGAAUCUAAUCCAAGGUUGUUUCAAAGGCUGAUUGAAGAUACAAAUGACUUUACACUUGGGAGUGAUUAAAGUUUAGUUUAGGCCAAUUAAAAAGAUACUUGAAUUCCUACAUGAGCAUGGGAUGAGAUCCAAGUAUGAGUUUAAGUGCCUCUAUCUUACCUUCCCUUUGAUUCGGGUUGAAAUAAGUCUAUAUUAAAGCUACCCUUUUUUUUUUGGUGUCCCUUUAUUAGUCAAGAAAAAACUCAUAAAAACGAGACAUUCAUUGAGGAGACUAAAGUCUAAAACUGUUUUCUUUCUUCAUUAACGGAUCACCAAUCACAGUAGAACAUGCAUCAAAAAGAUGAUAUUGUUGACUACAAAAUCUCAACUGUAUUAACAAAAAAUCAAAGACAAUUUGAACUAAUCAAAAACAAAAAAAUUUAGAAUUACUCUCAAUCGUUAAAAUAAGCAAUUGACUUAUUUAAUUAGUAACUAAAUUUAUCUUGGAACUAAAAUUCUAGAUGAAAGUUUUUAUUUUUUAUUCAUUCGACAUGCAUUCAGCUAUGGGCCUAGUACUUCAAUUACACAUGACUUUUGUACUAGUCCUCCAACCAUUGUUACAAGUACAGUUUUGGACCAUUGGUAUCUGACUUUCGCCUGUCAAGAUGAAUGAAAGUUCCCGCAGAUGGUCAAUAUUACUGCUGGCAACAAAUUAUAAGGCUUGCGUCGAAGCAAAUGCAGGGCCUGCAUUUCUUGACCCAAAUGUAAGCCCUUUCAGAAAAAGCUGUUGUGUUACACAGCUCUUGUAGUCUUGCUAGGUUUCUGUUGCCCAUCUACACUAGAGAUGGGGAUGGCAACGGGGCGGGGGACGGGGGAGCCUACAAAUUCCCCUGUUCCUGCCUCGCCCCCGCUUCUCCUGCGGGUGCCCUUACGGGACUAAUAAAAAUUUAUUAUAUAAUUUUAUUAUAGUUAAAUUUUAACAAAUAAUCAAGUACUAAAAUAUCAACACAUCACCAAAUUAUUAUUCAUUGUAAUUUCACAAUUGAAACUUAUAAAAGCAAUCAAACAAAAGUUAUUUGAAUACAAUCCAACAUGAUGAAAUAAAUACAAUUAAAGUAGUCAAGUUUUCACUUUUGACACAAAUACAAAUACUAAUUCAUUAUUAUACUUGUGCAUUUUUUUAAGGAAAAAAUGCUAUUGUAUUAAGUGUAAUUAGAGAUUUAAUAUAAAUGUAUUAGUAAAUUUAGUAUAACAAUUAAUAAUUUGUAUUAGUACACAUAUAUAAUUAUUAGUAUAAUUGAUAAUAUCAAUUAUAUUACAUAUACUAAUAUACGUUAUAUAAUACAUAUAACUAAUAAUAUCAUUAUCAUAAGUUUGUAACUAAUUAAAUUAUAUAUUAUAUAUAUAAUUAUAUACAUAUAUUUAUUAUAUAUUUAUUUUUUUAAAGCGGGUGGCGGGGCGGGGGUACACUCCCCCCCCCCUCGCCCCCUUUCUAAGCGGGGAGAAAAAAUUCCCCCCGCCCCUGCCCUAUUAGCCCCCGCGGGGGUGGGUCCAUUGCCAUCCUUAACUAGAAACCUGGAAACCAAUAUUGGAUGUUUUUUGAGUUAAAUUUUAAGAAUUUAAAGAAUAUUUCAUGUCUUUUAUAAACUUUGGUAAGGAGUGCAUAUAAAAGAAAGGAUUCCUCUAACCUGUAUUCAAUGAGUAUGGACUAAAAGCUACUUAAGGGUUUAGUUUUUGAAAUAAAAGAUAAUGAGGAAAGUUCUUAAAGAUUAAUUAGCACAAUAAAUAUGAGUGUGCAAGUUUAGAUAGCAAUUAAAAGAGAACAUUGGAUAAUAAUUAGGAAAAUCUUAGAGAUAAUGUUCAUACUCGAACAUUAAUCUCCUAGAUUUAGUCAUGCUAAGAUAUACAGUAUAGUGUACAAAGGGUUUAGUUUUUGAAAUAAAUGACAAUGAAUAAAGUUCUUUGGGAUUAAUUAGCACAAUAGAUAUGACUCUGUAAAUUUAGAUAGUAAUUAAAAGAGGACGUUGGAUAAUAAUUAGGAAAACCUUAGAGAUAAUAUUCAUACUCAAACAUUAAUCUCCUAGAUUUAGUCAUUCUAAGGUAUUCAAAACUUACCAAAACAUAAUACGACUACUAACAAAUAGAAAUAAAUAAAAGAAGAAUAGAACGAGGGUUUGUCUAUUGUUCUCAAUUAACAUCUCUUAAGAGAAGUCUGUAAUCUAGUACAAUAUCAUAUGGCUUUUUACAUAUCAUAAUUUUAAUUUAAAUCCAUCGUUGCACAGUAAAAUCAUAUUUGUUUUUUUAUCAUUAUAUUGUAAGAAUCUUAAUUUUUUUUAAAGUUUAAAUUAUUAUCCUAAUUGAGAUAUACAUAUUGAAAGAAUGAUACAGCUCUAAAGAUAUUUGUAAAAUUUUUCUAUCAUAUAAAAGGACUUCACUAUGUACACUUUUUAUAUAAUAAAUCAUGUGUGCCAACCUGAUACCACCAUUUUACAAAAGAAAUUCAUAAACUAACUUGUUAUUAAAUUUAGGAUUCGAAUCAUAAUAAUAUGCCUGAUAGUGGAGAGUAAAAAGGGCAUGGGAAAAGAUGAAAGAGUAAAACAAAAAAAAAUUGACUCAAGUAAUAAAUUCAAGGAAUACUUGUUGUUCGAUUUAGAAUUCGAAUCGUAAUUAUGUAUUUCACCGUUGAGAGUAAGAAGGAAGGAUGGAAGAGUUCAUAAAAUUUGAAUUUAACUAUUUAUAUAUCUCACAAGUUGCCUAAAGUAAAUUACAGCCUUCUUUUUUUUUUCUUUUUCUUUUUCUCCCUUGCAAAGAAUAUUUAUAACACAACCUUAAUUGGUUGCUCAAGCCGCACCCUAAUUAUUCUGGUCGGCGAACGAACAGAAAUUACCACUAUUUAACCCUGUGACGUAGGAGGCUGAAACCAAAGCUACAGCUUCUGGAACUUUCCACAGGGUUCUGGGCUUCCAGACGACUCUCCCCGCUUCGACGUUUCCCAAUUCCUUUUCUGCAUAUCCUGAGGAUUUUGUUUCCAAUUUAGAAUCCUCCAACCAACGAUUUCUACUUAAUAAACCAUCAUCACCAGCCCCAAAAGAACUCACUUUACCUACCACAUUCUUCUUUAUUAUCAUCAAGACAAGAAAAAGAUUUUUUUCAUUCGUUUUCUUACUGGGUUUCUUGCCGAAAGUUGUAUUGCUGGUUCUAGAAAACAAGCAAAAAUUGGUAAGGUGAAUAACAAGAGAAAGAGAGGGGAGGAGGGGAAGAUGGGGCUGGAUUACUACAAAAUAUUGGGAGUUGAUAAAAAAGCCACCGAUGAUGAUAUGAAGAAGGCUUAUCGAAAGCUUGCGAUGAAGUGGCAUCCGGAUAAAAAUCCCAAUAAUAAAAAGGAUGCUGAGGCCAAGUUCAAGCAGAUCUCUGAAGCUUAUGAUGUAUGUAUAUUUUUCUUUAUCCCGAUUAUCCUGCAUGUGUUUUUUUAUCUAUGAUGUCGUGGAUAGCAUUUUUUUUUUUUAAAGUUUGGGAGGCAUUUAAAUUUGCAAAAUUGAGAUGGGUUUUCGAAAUAAUUUUUUCUGGAAUUUAAUUAGAAAGCGUCUGGGUUUUUCUUUUUAUCUGUAAAGCUCCAAUCUUUAUAACAGGUGAAUGUUUAGUUUAGUAAGUUUUGAAUUUUUUUAGAGGAAUUUGAUCAUGAGAUUUUCUGGGUUUUUCUCCUUACGAGUAAAGAUUCGAUCUUUUUGUCUGAAGAUGAUUAUCUACUUUAAGAAGUUCGGAGUUUAUUAGCGGAAUUCAAUUGAAAAGAUUUUCAGAGGGUUUCUGCUUAUUUGUCUAGCUUAAUCUUCCUGUAUGUAGAUGAUGCUUAGUUUGAGAAGUUCUGACAUUUUUUUUGGGUCAAAAAGUUUGAAUCUUGUGUUUUUCCAUAUAUCUGUAAUGCUUUGCAUGUGAAUUAGUUACAUUCAACCAGCUCCAAAAGUUUAUAUUAAAGUUGAUCUUUUUGCUGUUUUUCUUUAUCUUUCAGGUUCUAAGUGAUCCUCAGAAAAGAGCAGUUUAUGAUCAGUAUGGUGAGGAGGGGUUAAAAGCUGGGGUGCCGCCGCCAGAUACUGCUGGUGGCCCUGGUGGCACUACUUUCUUCUCCACUGGUGGAGGGCCAACUUCAUUUAGGUUUAAUCCUAGGAGUCCAGAUGAUAUUUUUUCUGAGAUCUUUGGGUUUUCUGGCUUUGGAGGAAUGGGGGGUGGCAGUGGCAUGAGGGGUUCAAGGUUUGGUGGUAUGUUUGAUGAUAGCAUGUUUUCUUCAUUUGAAGGAGGCGGUAGUGGGCCUGGUGGAUCAAUGCAUCAACAAGCAAUUAGAAAAGCACCUGCAAUUGAGCAAAACUUGCCUUGUACACUAGAAGAGCUAUAUAAGGGGACUACCAAGAAAAUGAAGAUCUCCAGAGAAGUUCUUGAUACCAACAGUGGGUGAGUAUUGGACCUUAGUAUUUCGCUUAUGUGUGUUGACGAGAUGUGACAUAAUUCUUUUGUUUAUUCAUUCUGGUUGUGUUUGUUGACAAUCUUCACCUGUCAAAAUAUAACUUUUCUUCCCUUUCGUACUUGUGUGCAACUGUGAUAAGAUAUUAAAUUGAACCUAUCUAAGCGAGUAAUUUUGAACAACCAUUUCAUAGUUUCUGUCCUCGGUAAUUUAGUCAUUUGAGCAGUAGUAUUAGAACCAUUGGACCCAGAUCAUGUAUGAAAACUUGUACAUCGUCCUCUACCUUCCUCUUGUUUUCACUUGUGCUCAGUAGGAGACAGAGGAAUUGGGAUAUAAGGAUGAAGCAUUUUCUUCUCUUUUGGCAGUGUACAUAAAGUGUUAGGAAGUUGUACGACUUAAACUAUCAUCUACAUUGUACACAUGCGAAUUUAACAGUUAUUUGGUGUUAAAUAAGUACUCUGGUGAUUUUAUGUAUUGGCUGGUUUGUCAUUUUUCUGGUUGGUGAUUGAUUUAUCCAAUGGAAUGCGUUUAUGGUGGAGUUGUGAGAUUACAACUAUCAAAAUGCGGAAAAUGAUAUAAAGAUAUCCUGCAUGCAAAUUGACAUGUCUAAGUUUUCUUUCAUAUUUGGAAAGCAUUUUGUUUGCAGUUUUUAGAUGCAAUAGGAGACCGUGUAGCAGAUCACUGCUGUAUUCCCUUGUGAUUCACUUGCAGUAAUUGUAGCAUGAUAGUAGUUUGAGAAUAUAGUCAGCAGCUAAUUGCGAGCCUUCCAGCGGUUUGGAUGAGCUUUGUGAAAUUAGGGUUGUAAUGAAUGAGAGUCACUGUGUGUAAUGAACACGUAGAUCUCAAAGUAGUAAUCUGGGGGGGGGGGGAUUAUUAAUUAUUAGUAUAUUUCAAAUCACAAACCCCGCCAGUCAUUAAUAUUAAUGUCUACUAUUCCCUUGCAGUUGUUUUUCAAAGAUCUAAAGAAAUGGCACAUUUUACAAAAUUUACUUUCCGCAAAUGCUAUGAUCUGCUGAGUUUCUCUCUACUUUCUCUGAUUGAACUAGCAAUACAUUUGAAGCUUCUGGUGUGAAGUUUAAUGUGGCUACUAGUUGCCCUCCUACUAUGAAUCUUGUUUGACUUAUGCAUAGAAUAAGUGGGGUACAAGACCUCUCCUUGGUUUUGAGGAGUAAAUGUUUGACUUACGCCGGGACCUGAUUUUUUUUUCCAAUUUAAGCAAUUUCAUAAAAAGUCCUCUUUUUGGGAUUAACUAUUGGUCAUUUUUAUCCCUGUAAAAUAGGAAAGUAGGAAUCUUUUACUUAGGUCUAUUUGAUUGUUUGUGAUCUUUUCUGUCACUUUUGUUAUGAAUGUGAAACUCUUGUUAGAAGUUAUGAGAUGACUAUGCAAUUUGUGUUUGUUUUAGUUUUUGUAUGUUUUGAAGUUUUAUUGUUGUGGGAACGGGGUCCUAUAUCUCAGUAGGGACUUUCAGAGUUUAUAUUACUGUUUGCGAGUUAAAUGCAUGGAGUAGAAUAUGUAGUUGCAGAAAAGUGUCUUGCUCACUGAUGGGUUUUAGUAUUUCUACAUGCAUUGUUUCUGCAUUACAUUAAUAUUAUUAUUCAAAGUAAUCAAAAGCUUUUUGAAAAGACUUGUAAGCAUCCUGGGGUUUUGGGUUUAUAUCAAUCAUUUAUAUUAUGCUGAUUCAGUUUGCUUGCUUUGAUACAGCAAGAUAAUGCCUGUAGAAGAGAUUCUUACCAUUAACAUCAAACCUGGCUGGAAGAAAGGAACGAAAAUCACCUUCCCAGACAAAGGAAAUGAGCUGCCAGGUGUAGCACCUGCAGAUCUUGUGUUCAUCAUAGAUGAGAAACCUCACAGGGUGUUUACGCGUGAGGGGAAUGACUUGAUUGUUACCCAAAAGGUCUCUCUCACCGAAGCAUUGACAGGUUAUACAGCCCAUCUUACUACUCUGGAUGGUAGGAAUCUAACAAUUCCCGUCACCAGUGUGAUUCACCCAACUUAUGAAGAAGUAGUUCGAGGUGAAGGCAUGCCGCUUCCAAAAGAUCCAUCAAAGAAGGGAAACUUGAGAAUUAAGUUUGACAUCAAGUUCCCUGCUAGGCUGACUGCGAGUCAGAAGGCUGGUAUAAAGGAACUUUUGGGUUCUUGAGGUUGUAACCUGGGUUUUUUUGCUGUUGUUUGGAGUAGUACUUUGUGUAUAUUUUUCAGAGCCUUCACAUCUUUGGUGAAGAUCGGGGUAGCAAGAACAUUUAUUUUCAUUUAGUGCAUUUGUGUUCUCUAGGAGAAUAAUACUGCUCGGCACAAAGCUUUAAUUUAUACAUCUCUACUGGUUGUUUGAAAGUGUUACAGGUAAUAUAUGCAAAAGAUGAAAACACAAGGUUUUUGCAGCGUCUGAAGGGGCAGUUCAAGAUUUUGGUGCUUGCGAUUUACUUCUGUUUGCUUAUUGAAUAUUGCAAUGGGUAGAGUAUAAUCUUCUUGAAUAUGCUGUUCUGAAUGUGUACAGCUAUGGAAUAAAUAACACUGAACAAGGUGCAGGACUCAUUUUGCAUAAAAAAAAAAUACCAAUAUACUAGUAUUAGUAUUUGAGCAGCAUUGGCCGAACAAAUCUGUGUAAUCACCUUGAUCCCUGUCUUCUUGGGGCUUAAAACUUGCCCUUGGAUUAAACAGGCGGGCUACAAGCUAAGGGAUUCUUUGCAUGGACAAGGAACAAAGAAGAAAACGUGAGAGUAGGCACUUAAUAAUGACCGAGAUUCAUUGAUCGCCUCGCCGGCUUGGAAAUUGGAAUUAUUUAGCGUUCCUCAUAGCUUGUGCUUGUAGACGAAAGUCGUUCAGCUUUGCUAUUUGUUUUGGUUUUUCAUUUUUUGCCCUUUUCAGUUGACUCUCAUGUUAUCUAAAUUGCUAAACUAAGUUGAGGACCAACAUUUACUAUGGCCUGCCAAUCAGCAUCCCGUGUUGAAGGGUACUCUCACUGUCUUGCCUGCUUGAAAAGUUAUAUGGAGUUGCUACAAAGUAAAAAGGGUAUGCCAAUAAUGUCACCCUAUUGCAGUAUCUGUUGUUUUUUCUUUCUUUUUUAAAAGGUCUCCUGGUCUUGGCAAAAGAAUCUAUAUAACGUUUGGUCUUUGCUGGUUCUUUCACAAUGGAACUUCAACAUCGAUCCUUCAGCUUUUCCUAUGAAGAAGGCUGAUUAAUUACAAAAUCCAUGUAAGCAUUGACAAACAUUAGACAUCCACUUUAUUCCUUAUCAGUAGUUGCAGUGAAUUUACCGGAAUAUAUUUCAUAAAUUCUCAUAAGAUCCACAGAGCUCAAAGUGUAUAAAUUUCCUGGUAAAGCACUUGGAAGGACGUUGCUUAUCUCCUCAGUUCUUUCUUCCACAGCAGCAGCUUCUCUGAGCUUUCCUUCCUUCCACAGACUCCUGACAAGCAACUCCUUUGUGAUAGCAUCAGGAAUUAAGCUUGAGUUCAUCAUAUCCUCAAAUAUCCUCAUUGCGAGCGCAGCUCUUUCACAUUUGCAAUAUGCGCGAAUAAGAACUGUGUACAUAUGAGCAUCCGGCUCCAGACCACUUUGCCUCACCAUCCCAAAAAGUCUCUGAACUGUUUUAACAUCUCCAUGAAGUGCAAAAUGAUGCAUCAAUCCAGAAAAUGUCUGGAUUCCUGGAAAUAUCCCAACUAAAAUCAUCUCUUCAAGUAUGUCCAAGGCUUCAUUAUUCAUCUUACACUUGGUCAAGGUCCUUAACAUAGAUGUAUACAAAAUUAACAUGCUGCUCUUGGAUAUGGGACCACAAAUUGUUUUAACACCUUGAAGAAUCUUAAGAGCGGCAUCACCAUUUCCAGAAAUUCCAUAAAAAUUUAUAAUCAAUUUGACUGUGCCGAAUGACAACCUGAUGCCCUCCCUAUCUAAUUUAGACAACAGCUGAUCAACCAAUUUGACACAUCCUUGGCGGGCUAAUUUGGCAACCAUCCUUGAUGUUGUAUAAAUAUCAUGUCUAAAUCCUGGUUGAUAAGCUACCCAGCAGAAGAACUGCCAUGCUGUUUCAGCUGACUUGAAAUUUCUGAUCAUUUUGCAAACUAGCCGUGUUGUCCAUAUAAUGUUUGCAUCCUCUAAAGUUGACACCUCUUCAGGUCUCCACUGCUGCAAGGCACUAGCCAAAGCUGCAGGAUCUAACCAUGGUUUCAACUGCAUUUGAUCAACAGCACGACCAUCAACAUGGUUAGCAUCUUCAUCCUCAUCCUCCAUGUCAUCCUCACUGCCAUCCAAAGCAUAAGCUACAGUUUUAAUCCUCUCGUCCGGUAACAUUUCCCUCAAUAAUUCUUUUGUCUCCUCGACGUAGCCUGCCUCCUGCAGUUGCUGCAACGAGUUCUGCAUAGCUCGACCAGGCAAUAUACCAUCAAUUCGCAUCUCAUCAAGCAAAGUCUUCACCAAGUCUAUUUGAUCAUUUUGACAUAAUGCUGCAACCAAAACGGAAUACUGCUUCAAACUGCGUUUAAUACUCAUCUGUGGCAACAUUUGGAAAACCUGAAAUGCUGAAUCCAAGUUCCCUGAACCGAGAAGAUGCUCAAUGAUAACUGUGUACGUUCUACAAUUAGGAAGCGCCCCUUCAUCAAUCAUCCUACGGAAUACUGUCACCGCCUCAGUAUCGCUGCCAUUCUUAGCAAAAAGGCCCAUCACAAUGUUGUAAGACUCAGAACAAGGACGCUUCUGUGAGGCCCGCCACUCAUCCCACACGCUAGCAACCUCGUCAAGAUCUCCAGCAAGAGCAAACCAACGCAUCCGGUCCAUAAAGCUGACACGCGCAACAUUUGUAAACUUGCCAGCAUUGAUGGCAUUGAUCAGGGUUCUGAGUUUACCAGUUUGGCCAGAUUUUGCAAGUAUUUUGGCUAAUGUAUGAAGUGUUUGCUGAUUAUGCGAGAAAUUUGGAACAGUCUUAAGUACUUCAACCAAGGAAAGAGCAGAUUCAGGGGAAGGAGCUGAUCUUAGUGCAUUGUUGACUACAAAAGAGUCUAGAGCAGGACUAUGCAAAAUGGAAACAAGGGACGAUUCUGGUGAACUUGACCGAAGACUAAGCCUUAUCGAAUCAAUGAGCCUGGCCCUUUGGAGGCACAAGCUGACCUUAUCCACAUUUGGGCUACUUGAAAAAUGGCAAACUUGCAGAGCUAAAUUUCUUAAUAGGCAUGUGAUAUGGUUAAAACGGGAGAGUUUCAUGGGAACCCACUAGCCAAAAUCAAUUCUUUAUUCAAGACCAACCUAGAAAUCCAGAGUUGCUAAAGUUAUGGCAAUUACUUUCUGCGGCAAAUGAUCAAACAUGUGGACUGCAUGGGCAACCAAUUUUCUACCUUUGUCUAAGGUAUAGGUACGACCAGCAUACCCUGCAGUAAAUGGUCAAAGUGGUCCUUUCAUAGUGUCGCUGCUUGGCUUUGGCUUCAAAUGAAAAGAUGGGAACUAAAUGACGCAGCCUUGAACUUUGCGAGCGUUGAGACUUCAUAUGAGAUAUUACCGAGUUAUGAGCCUAAUCGAGCCAGUACUCUAGGGGUCAAGACUAGUCUGAUGUUAAAAAUUUUUAGUGCCACAGGGUCAAACCUCUCCUUGAAUUGAAAACAAGUUAACCUAGACCCCUUUUUUUUCCAUAGUAUAACUUGAACUCUUUUCUUGAAAGAAAAACUCAUAUCCAACUUUGUUCAUUUUGUCCAAGUUUGAUUUGAUUUGUUGAAAAAGGAACACAUGUUAAGUUAUCUAAUGACUUUGCUCAUCAUUAAUUACUUUAAUAAAUCACAAAUGGAACGUGAUAUUCUUAUAAUCAAUUGAAAUUAAGCACUUACUAAAAGUUUUAAAAUUUCUUGCUAUUCAAUUUUCUGAGCAUAAAGAAGUUAUCUUGAACCUCGUAAAAUAGUAUCAUUUGGUUGGACUUGCCAAGUUUUAGGCCCUGUUUGAUAAUUCAAUUCAUUACUUAAACUUAAUAGAUUCAAAUCUUAAUAUACUCAGACCGUUUGAUAACAAAAAAUUGAACAUCUGAAUUAAUUAAAUAACACUGAAUUUUCUAAGCAAAACUUGCACCCAAAAUUAAGUUAUCAGUUAUUCACUUAUCACUGAAUGUGAUAUGUACUCAAAUGUAUUAGAUUUAAUAUUUAACAAUUUAAUAAUUUAAUAAAUUCAGACUUCAGAUUUUAGAUUCUAGACUUCAGUUUUCAGACAUCUUUUAUCAAAUGCACCCUUAGUUUUUAACCAAAAAAAAAGAAAGAAAAAUAAUAGUAAGAUGGAAAGGACACGGUAGAAAGGGUAAGUUUCAUUUCUAAAAUUCUUUAAAAUUAGAUAAAGAAGUCUGACAUAGUUACUCAUGAGGCUAUUAUGGUUCCUCAGAACAGUAACCACUUUUGGUGGAAGCUUCCCUGUAUUCAUCUCUAAUCUUGGUACUAUGUUAAGCAGCUAAGUAUCCUAAUCACUAUAGUCAGAAGAAGAAAAUUCUGAGCCUUUAUUCAGAUUUCCCAUCUUCUCUCCG
rnacentral:lncRNA from 1 species